rnacentral:lncRNA from 1 species
CAUGUUUGCGAUACUAAUACAAUUAUCUAAAAAAAUUAAGAAUUUUCUGUAAACAUUUAAUAUAUUUUUUGCAUUACUGUUCACCCGGAAGCAUAUGCUCCCGGGAGCCAAAACACCACUCCCCUCUUUGGGUGGCUAGACAGAAAUUUGAUACUCUAAAUACUACUCCCUCCAAAGCUAGUACAAAGUUUAAUCAUUUAUUAUGGAACGGAGAAAGUAUAUAUGUGCUAUUCCCUGGCCCUGCCGAAACACAGGAAUAGCAUUGUGUUUAAUGGUGUUUCCUUGGAUCUCUCUUAAUCAGAUCUGGUGGCCGCUGAAGAAAUGGGGAAGAUCACAUGCUGAAUCAGGUGGAGCUGUUCUGCCUUCACGUGCAACAGAUAAUCCAUACUCCAUUCCAAAUAGAGUGGCGGUUAUGGUAGCUACAGACGCUGAUGGCUAAGCAUUUGGUUUUCUUCCUGAAGCCAGUUUUGGAGCAGAUAAUACAAGGCCCAGCACACGCCAUCACGGCCAGCCAUGUCUGGCCUGGUUUUGCUUUUGUAUGUUCGUGUACUGAUGCUCCUGAGAGAUGUUGCAGUUUGUAACAGUUUCAGUUUGCUGCCUUGAACCAAAGCUUUCUUUUGAACCUUGCACCUGGGCCUAAUUUGAUCAGGCCUCUUUCUAUGAAUGGAGCUGGUGAGCACUCUGUUAUCCUAAAAAUAACCCAUAGUAUCAUGAACAGAUGGAGCUAACGACAGGCUCAGUGCACAACCUUACAAUAUCUUUAGCUUGUCUAAAAUUUCUACAGAAGUUCGGCAUGAGAAAUCAAUCUUUAUUAUCAGUCCAUAUAUUCAGAAAAGAAGUGUUGAGUAAAUACUUUCAAGGACGCUAUAGCUUUACUGUUUCUCCAUAAUAAGCAUGGCCUACAAUAUUCAUGUUUGUUCGUACCGAAGGGUUUCCAGAUUAUUACAAAACACCUAUUCUUGUGCUGACUACCACAUGUAAUUCUACAAAUAUCGCCUAUUAGUGAUGUCCUAGCUCAUCAUUUGAGGGGCAGUGAAAACAAGGUUAACGAAUAUAAUGGAAUCAAAAUUUGUUUCCUCUGUGCUCCAGAAGAAUCAGUCUGUGCUCUUAGUGGCCUUAUGUGCAUUCACAAGCUGCAUCUGUACGUCCUGCGAGACAGUAUUAUGCUCCAUAUACUCCAUUGUAAACUCACCUUUUCCCUGCGGUACAUGAACCAUGGAAUUAAUUAGGAACACCACCAUACUAGUUUAUUUUCUAUUAUUUUGCCAAACCUUUUCCUUUUAAUGCCAAACCAAAGACUUGAAAGAUAGUGUCAUGGGUCUUUAAAACAGGAGGGUAUUCAAUGACUCUAUGAAACAGGAGGGUAUUUAAUGACUGUAUGAAACUGCAUUGUAGUACUACCUCCGUCACAGUCACAGUUUAGAAGGCACGCACGUGUACCUAGGUCGUCAAUUUGACUUAUAUAAAAUCUAUUGUUUAAUACUCCCUCCGUUCCUAAAUAUAAGUCAUUUUAGAGGUUCCACUAGGGGACUACAUACGGAUGUAUAUAGACAUAUUUUAGAUUGUAGAUUCACUCAUUUUACUCCAUAUGUAGACUCCUAGUGAAAUAUCUUAAAAGACUUAUAUUUAGGAACGGAGGGAGUAUAAAAAUUAUAUCAUUAAAAAAAUAAAACAUCUAAAGUUUUUAAUGAUAUAUUUUUUGUAAUAUAUGAUUAUCAUUAAGUUGGUCAAAUUGACGACCUAGGUACACGUGCCAGACUUAUAAACUGAGAUGGAGGGAGUACCAUGAAAGGUUGAAUAAACAGGCUUCUAAUUUUUUUAUAGCAUUAUGGCACCUUCACCAUGACACUAAUAUAAUACCUACCUAAAUGACAUUCACAGAACCACCAGGACCAAACAGUUCUCACAGCUCACUGGUGGGGCCUCAGACUUGUUCUAUAGCAAUAUUGUUGUACAUUAAGCUAUGCUACUAAGGUAAGUAAACAAAUGCAUAAUGUUCUCUCUGAGAACAUGUGCUAUAAAUGACUUCCCAAUAUAAACUAUUCGAUAGUUGAGCACCUUAAGCAGCCAAAGUAGAGAAUCCAAAUAGAAAUAGUUUGUGCCAGAAAAAUUAUUGUGCACAAAAGAGAUAUUGUGAAAGAACACAGUGAAAUCUUAUCUAUUCAAACCCAGACUGCCCUUGAACCAGAGCAAACAAGGAUGAACCAGACACAAGCACGUUGUGUGGAAUGGCACAUACAAACUAUAAGAUCUUGAUAUAAAUACUGUAUAUAUAACGAAAAAUAUUAAAAGUACAACCAUGGCCGAUGACCCAAGUACAACCAGUGACCCAGUGUACCGUGACCUCAGACGGCUGGCCAGGUUGAUGACCAGGCAAUGACUGAUAAGCGAUAGCAUUGGUUCUAUUUUGAGGUAGAUUUCCAAUAUUUUCAUUCCAGCAUAACAAAAUACUGAUAAAACAUAAAUAAAAUGUACAGUGAUGUCUAUCUCCAACGACUGAGGGCACUGAUGUAUUUUCGUGAUGUGGAUGUAAAAAAGUGCAUGCAGAAUGCAAAGAAAUUGGAAGGACGUAUCAGAAAAAAAGGGUCAGCUUGGGUGUUAUGAUGUAUCCUACUGGGAUUGGCUAUCAUAUAAAGUGAACACAAAAUUGGAACCGAGAAAAAAGAUAAGUUCAUUGAGAGAUGUAUCCAUGUUCACUUGUUGCAAAUAAAUAAGGAAUUUUAUACAAACAGAAAAUAAUAAUUUGUACUUCCUUUGGUUUUGAAAUUACUGUAUUAAUUUGGUUCUUCAACUGCCACAUAGGUCCACAACACCCUGCGAUCACAAGUGAUUGAACUGUGGGAAGUGGAACUCUCGACUAUGAAACACGGAGGCAUCAAUUGUCUUCUAUACCUCUUGCAACCAAGACUGAAUUUGAUGUCAGGUUUGGACAUGUGUGCUACAUCACAUCUAGGACAUCACUUAGUUUUCUCAAAUAAAAAUUAUACUUUCACCAUAUAUUUUUGUAUAAGGUGUUAAGAGAUAAUCCCUCUGUAAACUAAUAUAAGACUUUCCAUGUAUAGGAUGUCCUAUUCCCCAUUGAUACUGGCCCUUAGCCUCCAGGAAAUACAAGUUCUUAUUUCCUCACAUAUGGCACGUAUCACCAAUGUGUGUAGCAGAAUUUCACUACUUAUAUACUCCCUCCGUCCCAUAAUAUCAGAACGUUUUUGACACUAGUGUAGAUCAUAAUAUUAGUGAAGAAUGUGCCAAGUGAACAAUAAGGAUAGAGAACAUCUUGAACGAUCACUACUUUGCAAAAAAUGCGCCGGGUGAAAAAUAAGGAUAAAAAGCAUAUGAGCGACCAUGAUAGUUGCCAAAACAAAUGCUCAGGAAAGAACAUCAGGACUCGUGAAGAACAAAACAUUACCUGUGUCAUUGAACGAAGCGCUGUCGAAUAUCCAAACAUAUUGUUUAGUGGAACCUGAAAGAGAGCAGGACGAGAGGCUAAGUACAAUAACAAUGCACAAGGUAAUUGGCCUUAACAUGGACAUCUACAUUAUGAAUUUCACAAUAUACCUGUUCCUCUUAUAUAGUCUACUGAUCUGACACGUUCAUUAUGUGAAAAUGUUGUCCUAGCUGUUGUUCGUGUAGAUUAGUGGAACCUCCCACCCGUAACCCGUCACCGACUACCCAUUAGAAAACUUAUAUUUAUUGUUACGAGGGUAAUACUGCAAUUGAUUUCGUAAUGCUUCAGUUGUUCUCUUAGACACAUAUCGCUACAAACUACAGAAAAGCCAAAGCUACCAACAUCGAUUACUACAAUCAUUCAUGACCAAUACAACUAUCAAAUCUGGCAGUUUAUCACAAGACAAUACUGUAGUAUUAUCCGUGCUACAUGAGGCAAGAAACCGAAAGGAACAAGGAUUACGUACAUGGCAUACUACAACUGUGUCAUCGCCUUCCUGGUCAUUUCCAACAAUAAUACCUUUUCUCCUGUUUACCACACAAAACAAAAGAAAUAUACUUAGUAUGGUUUGAAGGAUUGAACUGAUGAGUAUACAAAAAAAAAUCCAUAGCACCCAUGGAAGUCAGUUUGCCAAAAAAUCACAAGGUGUCAAUAUGUUCUGAUCCCAGAACCAAUUUAUCACUACCAUGGCCUAUGGUACUCCAGAAAAUUGUGCCUUUUCAGGUGUUAAGGAGGCAAUUAUCCUUUUAAAGUGAAUUGCAUGCAAGUAUCUGCAUUUCUUGAAUAGAAAAGGAAAAUUUAGAUGAAUCAUCCGCUAACCAUACAUCUCAGUACAAGCAUAGCUUGUUGGCAUUAAAAAAACUCACUUGUUUAUGUCACCAGUUACUGUGCCCUGGAACUCUGUUGGAAAUUUUAGUUCCACCUUCAUCACAGGCUCUAAUAUAACAGGUUUAGCAGCAGUAUAACACUGGAAAAAAAGAACAAAUUUAUGAAUAACGCUUGCAUUCGCAUUGUAGCAGUGCAACAAUCGCUAGAAAUGACAAGCAACUAGGCUCACCUGUCUAAAAGCAUAGAUAGCAGCUAGCUUAAACGCAAGCUCACUGGAAUCGACUUGAUGUGAAGCCCCAUCAGUCAGUGUAAUCCUAAUAUUCUCGACAGGAUGCCCUAUUAAUGAACCCCUGCAGUAGCCAGCAUGCAAACAAAAAUUAAAACUCCACAAACAAAAUGUGGAAUAGCUAAACUAGUGUGGAAGAGAUGGACUCACGAAUUGCAAGCCUCCUUGAAACCCUUCUCAAUCGCUGGUAUGAAGUUGGACGGAAUUGCUUGUCCAAUAAUCAUGUUCUCAAAUUCGAAUUUACCUUCAGCAUCUGCUGGAAGAGGCUCAAUGUACCUGCAUAUUCCUGCUUCUUAUCAUGAAGCUCCAAAUGAAAAAUCCUAAAUAUUUAUUCGCAUAACCAAACUAAGCCACUAAGGUAAGGUAAACUGGGAGCGCCACUUUUCUAGUUAAAUUUGGCAGGUCUUAACUCCACUUUGGUGCACAGGUAUAUUCAUGCUCUUAGCACAUUUACAAGCUGUUGAAAAGUAGAAGAUCAGGAAAGGGCCAACUGUCCAAUCAUCAUUGAGUUUCCUCUCGCAUGAAGUCCACUAAAACAAAACAGCAGCAAAGACCAGGAGAGGUAAGGAAAUGGCAUCACGGUGGUUGUGGAAACAAAACAGCAGCGGCAGCGAUGAGUGCUACUGUGCUAGGGACAGUCAAUGAUAGAGCGCUAGGCAAUACGAAUCAGCAAUCAGGAGCAAGUGAUGAAUAGCAACUAAGGUUUCAAAUAAAAUACUUUGUAACUCUCCCCAAUCAUUACCUUAUUUUCCUUAUCAGUAAAUACUUUUCCCAAUAUAUCAAGGUGAUGGGCCUCUACAAGGAGGUGCAGAAGCAGAUGGAUAAGAUUAUUUGGGGUUCCUUUGGACAGGCAGAACAGCCGCAUGCGGCGAUCACAGCCACGUCAACUGGAACAAGGCUUGUCGUACAAUGACGUCUGAGGCCUCGGCAUCCAUGAGCUGUCCAAGACCACGAUCGGUCUGAGGGUGUGUUGGAUUUCAAGGAUAGUACUGACCCUUUCCACCGCUGGUGAGAGCUUGACAUUCGAUUCUCAAAAGAUGAUGGUACACGUUUUGCUGCAUCGACCAAAGUGGUGAUUGGCGACAGGACAACCACACUUUCUUGGGAAACAUCGAUGGCUAGGCGGUCAAGCGGUCAUCGAGAACACACCCGAACACUACAGUCUUGUUCCUAGGCGGACCACGAAGAGGCAGACCAUGCUGGAGGUGCUGCAGGACAGGCCUUGGAUCACUGAUAUCAAAGGGAAAUACCUUCCCUUAUGAGCUCCAAAAGUUGGGUAACUAAAGUGAUCCUACUCAAUCUCAACACCAGAUCAGAGAAGAAAUAUUAGAUUGACAGCACACUCAUGACACCCAUAUCAGUGAACUGUGUGCGCUGUUGCCACAAAAAUAGACAACAGAAACAUUACGGGCUCACUUCAACUGUUGUAAUACACAUCAUUCAGGAGAUAAAGAAAAGUACAUGUGGUCACAGGAGCGUAAUCCAAAACUUACAGACAGAAGUCCAACAUAAUAUCAACAAGGAGAAUUCAGUUCAUAGGUAAAAUGUACAUGAGUGUGCUACAAAACUAGAGGAUCUGGCUUCUAUUUAUAGGCAUGAAGUGGCCUUAACAACAAAUCAUAAACAUCUUUUAAUGGAACCUAUACUCCUAGACUAGAAGCCAUGAUAUUGAGUGUGGCGAUUUGGCGAACGGGCGUGCGUGCUCACGCUAUGUGGCGUGUAGGUACAGGUGGAGCAGUGCGGCGCCAGUCAGGGUUGUAUACAACAGAAGUCCAGUGGGCUAGAUGUGGGAACGACGACUCCAUGGCCGUGAUUAUAGCGGGGGCUACGUGUACCGGCGGUACAUGAUGGGGCUUGCACGCCGUGCCGCUGCCGACUCUAAACGGGUAUACGCGUAUGUGAUGAUUGGAAUCUACGGGGUCCGAAAGGCAAACUUGGAUGUGUCCACCGAGGGAGAGUUUUUCAGGGUGCCUACCGAGGCAGAGUUGCUAUGAGGACACGGUCAUGGAGCUUGCUUUUGAGUUCUUAUCAGAUCCGAGUGACCCUGCUAUGAGCUUGCUCCUCUGAUUUUCCAUGUGCCCGGCAAUGUGGUCAUGUGGGUUGCUGUCACAGGUUCCCCGUGCCGUCGGCGAGAGAGGAAACCAGGAACCUGGCGUUGUGCGCCACCAUGGUUCGGGGUUUUGGCGGCGGCGAGUAGCUCUUGCGGAGAAGUUCGCCCUGGCGUUGUGUCACACGUCCUAGGUCGACAGCGGCAGCGCGAUAGUUGACGACUCUGGCCACUCGAUGGGGAAAGACGACCCACAGACACCAGGAUGGACUCUAGAGGUCAGCUCUCCAUCGGCAAUGCAUAUGUUGAUCUAUAUAUGUGCAGGGGUGUUCCCAAUCUGACCUUGUAGUACAUAAGAGAGGACAUGAUUUUCAGUGCUUUUAAUGCAGAGUUUCUUUCUGUUUGAUGCAGAGUUCGCUUUUGGGAGAGAGGACUGAAUUUCUUGUGUUGUGUUUUCUGUUUCUGUAGAGCCUGUUUGUGUGCGUAACUUGAUGGACCAUGUUAUUCGAUGUACAGAUGAGUGUCGUGCAUUUACCCCGCUGGCUGCUACAAGGGAAGGGUUGGGUCUGGAGGACCGGCUUGAGACUAAUCUGGUACCUCUGCAAUAUGUUGCUGAGGUAGCUUGUGAUGGUAUGUCCGGGGCCCGGGGGCAGUGAUGCCGAAGGCAGUGCCAACGGUAAUCUGGCUGGCCUAUCUGCACCAUUACAGUAACGAAAGGUUGGGACCAACUAGUAGCGAUGACAGGGCAUUCAAAAACUAAAAUGAAGAAAAACCUUUGUGAGGCAGCUGAUGGUGGUACCAGCAAGCCCAAUCGGUUCUGCACAAUCUGCGAGCAGCCAGGGCGCAAGAGCACGACGUGCUUGGACAGGGGGGGCCACCAGAGGAACACUUGCAGCAAUCCUAACGUAUUGAGUAGGGUAAUGAUUUGUAUCAAAUUUUCGAAUUUGUGUAACUAUGGGAUUGUGCUGGCUGAAUAAACGUGUAACUUCAAGAAGCAUAGUAUGUCCAGUGGCAUGUGUGGAAACAAGGUAUACAAAAUGAUUUUGCAGACCGGCCAAACAACAAGUGCAACCCAUGUCAAACUCGGCCGUGAGUACAAGAUGCAACUCCCGUCACUAGAUGGCCAUCCAAACGACGUUACGGCACUAGGUUCUCCACCCGUUAGUACAUUAAAAGCAACUCUGUCCCAUAGCCUAUGCUGUGUCAGAUCUCAAAGAUGUUGAACGGUGCACGAUAACGUGACCAGGCGAGGACGAGCACCCCUCUGAAUUUUCGCGAUGAUACUGUACUAAUUAAUGACUAAAGAGAACGUGUCAUCACCAAACUGGCAAAUUUAAAAGGCAAGGGUAAGUAUUCUAUAAUGGUGGAAGCUUUCCUCACCAGUGAAAACAUUAUUAUAGGGGGGUGUUCUUACAUUCUCCAUUUAGGUGAAGUAUCUUCCAUGACAUUAUAUGAAGUGGCUGGAUUACUACAUUCAUUGAUAUUUGCUGGACCUAGGUAUCCAGGCUCCCUUGAGGCAACUUACAGUGCCAGGGCGCUGGCCUUAGGUAUCCAGGCUCCCUUGAGGCAACUUACAGUGCCAGGACGCGGUUCCAACCUUGUUCUACUCCGGCAACACUUUCCACACUAUCCAAUACUGUCUUACAAGUGGGAAUGGGGAGUAGGAAUACAUCCAGUAAAGAUGCAGCUAAAACAUGUAAUAACAGCAGAUGUCCCAUAUAUAUGCAUCACAAAGUAAUAACUUUCCUGAAGCGAACAAAAUCGGAUAAAAGAAAGUAAUGGAAAUUGAUUUGCGGGUGAUUAUUUAAUUUGAAUGAACUCACCCACAAACUCGCCCAUAUUGACCUUGACCACCAGAUUGCUUUUUGUGCAAGUAAUCAAAUUCAGCACGCUGGGUGAUCGAUUCCCGGAAGUUCACACGAGGUUUCCCAACUUUUGCAUCAACCUACAUAAGUUAAAAACAUGUUACAUCUAUUCAAUUUCAACAGAUAUAGGUGUACAGUGAGUCAGACAUCGACAUUCAUCGUAGGAAUAUCAUGCACUUAAUGAAAAUUGUCAACAUAGAAGCAUAUCAAAAAAGCUCAAUAGAGCAGGCACGUAGCAAUAUUUCCCAACUCUGAAAUGUAGUUCUCAGUAGGACCACACUACAUGAACAUACGGGAUGUCUGCUCUUGGCAGGUUAUAACAAAUACACCAGGACACGUCAUCAAUAUGGCCCAGCCCAGUAGCAACACAUAUAAGCACCCAACCCUAAUUCCUUUCAGGACUAUGUUUCCAGUCCACCCAUGACUCCAGACUGGACACUUCACAGACAGAGAGGAGAUGCAACGGCAAUGGGGUCUCUCAUGAGGCCACAGUGGCACUUCGGCUAUGGAGCGCCAACGGAUACGGAACUGCCAUCCUUCCUAUCGUGUCCCUCAGACUUGCUUUCUCUUCAUUUCUUUCAUUUUUUAUCGGAGUGGUAGUGGAGAGACGUAUUAGACAUAUCUGCAGUUCCAUCUUUCAUACUUCUAGAUCUAACUGUUAAGCUUCCCCUCCUGAUCACGUUUUCCUUUUAGUACUUUGCAAAUGGAAAUACACCUAGAGGUGUGCAGAAUGCAGCCACAUUUGGCGUGGGUGUUUCUGAGCUUGCUAACCUCUCGUGAUGAGCAAGAUUUGGAAGAAGUGCUAUCUAAAGGAGGUGAUUUUCAGUCAUCUUAACGAACAACCUAGGUUGCCGCUUUUUAAUUUCCAUAGCGCUGCCAUGUACUUACGUGGUGUUAAGAAGAGGAACGGAAAACUUGGAUGUCUAUUCACUUGGAAAAUAAAGUUUGUUUCAACUCUGAUUGUAGAACUUCUAGUUCGUAUAUCCGUUUUGUUGAAGCAUAACGUUUGAACUGUAACUGUUGUUGUACAGCCGCCUUGGCUCCUUGCUGCUGCCAACCUAGUGCCUUGCACUAGUUAGAACACUGCAGUUAAAUGGAUGGAAUGUGUUUCCUAGAGGUGGAACAGUUUACCCAUUACUACUCCCUCCGUUACAAAAUAUAGUGCAUAUAGAUUUUGUCCAAGAUAAACUAUGUAAAGUUUGACCAAGCUUAUGUAGACAGAAAAUAUCAACAUAUACAUUACCAAACCAAUAUACAAAUUUUGUCCAGGUACAAUGUUUACAAAUUUUAUAGAACAAAUAUCAACAUUUACAAUACCUAAUCAAUAUGGAACGGAGAGAGUAAUACUUUGUUAUUUCCUAAAUGAUAUUUUAUAAUCAGUGUAGUUAAACAGAGAAAGUUUUGACCAUCAGCAUAUACAAAAUUAUCUUGACCCAUAUUAUCAGUUUAGUAAAUAUCAAUAUUUACUAAUGAAUGAUAUAGAAAUUAAUGAUCAAAGUACCACCUCGAAGACUGUUGACCUAGAAGACAGAGUAGAUGACAUGUGUUCAAGGAUAAGACAAUAUAUGAGAAUAAAACUAAACAUAGACUAAUAUAACAGUAUCUUGAGGCGUUAAUUUAAGCAAUAUGGGAAUGCAAAAAUUAGGCUUGGUAGCUGUUUGCUGCCCAUGCCCAAGCCAAGCCAAAACUGCAAAUGAACUUUCCAUGCUGUCAAGAAUAAAACCGAUCAAGUGUGUUGCUGUAUUAUGUUGUGGGCAUCUGUACUUUCCCUGCUCCCUAGAGGCCAGAAAUCAGAUCAGGAUUAUGUGCGGCCCUAUGGUGUUUUGGCAUGAGUCACCAAGUGGAAUGGUGGGUCCGACCCGUACUAAGGCCUCAUUCUUAUGCUUGGUACGUAGCUAGAACCGGAACCGACUCAUUCCCACCAAGGGAAUAUUCGGCCCAGAUCCAUAACCGAGCCGUUCCUCCAAAUCGAUGGAACGACACGGAACGCUGCCUCGCCUUGCACUCACUUGUCGACUCUCCCUCUCUGGCACGAGACCCUAUCUCCUCUCUAUCGAUCUGCGCCUCCGGCUGCUCCUCUCCCCAGUGACUAGACCUGAUCUGCUAGGGACCAGGCCUGAUCUGCUAGGGACCAGGCGGCGGCGACUUGACCUAACCUUCCGGGGGCUGCAACGGCCACCUCUCUCACGCGACCACUGCAUCGCCGCCGGCUGCAAGAGCAGCAGCCACUGCUUCCAGCUUGUCGUCCCCUAGCAGAUCACGUCUCCGCCAGUCGGAUCGACAGGGGCUCUUCUGGAGCUCCUAUCUCAAGGUCAGCAGCAAGAGCGUUGCUGUGUUUAAUGUUGCCUAGCAAAUAUUGCAUGGUUCCAUCUAUGAGCAUUUUUUUCUCGAUUGAAAAAAAAAAUCAAUGCAAGUAUUCAAAGUAAAAUAGAAUGUGGCCUCUGUCUGUUUGAGCAAAACUAUGCCAUGUUUGGGCAAAACACUUCAUAUUUAUUCAUAUUGUAUAUAUGCACGUGAGAGGCAACCUCACCGUUUUUAUACAAGAGGUGCUGAAUUCAUUCUGUUCCAUUUCUCAAACUAAACACUGAAACGUAACCAUUCCGUUCUACCAAAUAUCCCCAACCAAACACGGGAACGGAAGCGACCCAUUCCAGUGGAAUGGAAUCAUGACAUGAUAUUCCACUUCGUUCCCAAACCAAACACACAUUGAAACAAAGAAAAAAUAAAGAGGCUGCAAUAGCUGAACUAGCUCAUAAAAGCAAACUAGACAAGGAUUUACUCAACACUUCUAAUGGUGCAGCUCAUAUAGCAAGCUUCAAGUCAAGCAGGGAGACCAAGUAUAUCCUUGAAACAAUUGUUUGUGUACCUUGUACUCUCUCCUGAUGCGUUCAACAUAGAUAUCCAAAUGCAACUCACCCAUACCAGAAAUGAUUGUCUGCAAGUACAAAGUACGCUUUAGAAACUACACAAUAAUGAUAGAAUAAAGCAAACAUGAUAGAUGGAAGAACAAACCUGUCCACUCUCUGGAUCCAGACCUACACGGAAAGUAGGAUCUUCUCUCUGGAAUCGAUUCAGUGCCUUUGAAAACUGAAAUAUUAUAGUAAUUAAUUAUUCAAGAAAGUUCAGAUAUCAAAUAUGACACAUUAAUCUUUAAAGCAACAGAUGAGUUACUUGUCCUCCAGAAUCUUUAGAUAUCGGGUUAACAGCCAAGGACAUCACAGGUUCAGCGACAUGCAUUGAUGUCAUAGUAUAUUUGACCGACCCAUCGGUAAAUGUAUCACCUGUUGAUGCAAAAAGCUGGGAAUCAGGCACUGAAGAAAUCUAAUAGAUGGUACUCCCUCUGAUCCAUAUUACUUGUGGCUCAAACGGAUGUAUCUAGACGUAUUUCAGUGCUAGAAACAUCUGUUUGAGCGACAAGUAAUAUGGAUUGGAGGGAGUAGCAUAACCUGGAAAAGUUACAGCACAGAAAAGAUUUUGAAUAUUACGUUGCUAAUAAUUUACCUGACGCGCAAUCAACACCAAACACAGCAACAAUUUGGCCAGCAUGUGCUUCUUGAAUAUCCUAUAUUGACCGCAAAGAAUUAAGAUACUAGCUAACAAAUUGAUUUUAUCGUAAAGAAUAGCCAUCGAUGUUGAUCUGAACAGUUAAUGUUUCAAGCGUUAACUUCAACAUAACGUGCAACUUACCUCCAUCUCAUUGGAGUGCAUCCUUACUAAUCGUGGAACCUAGACACGGUGAACAGCACUUAGAUCAGAUAAGACAAACCUUCUGAAAUUCUCAUAACCAACAAUUGAAAGUAAAGGCGAUAAGUCAGACUGAAAGCAUCUAUUGCUCUCCUGAUAUGAUUGCUAUUUUCUAUGAAAAUUCAGGCCUAAUUAGAUGUUCUGUAAUAUUUAGCCUUUAAUAGUUGGAACCAAUGUGUAAAAUCUUCAGACUUAGAUUUGUAACCAGGCAAAUGAUGUGCAAUUAUGAUAUUUCAUGUCAAAGCAUCUACUUUAGUUUACCAACACAAAUAUGCAAUAUAACAACUACCAUACUAAACAUAAUUACAAAUAACGAAUAUGUUACAUAAAGUCCAAUUUUUCUUCUUCUGCUGUAGCAUGGCAAGUAUGUUCACCAGUGGUCACAGAUUCACAACUGUAACAGCUCUAUAGGAUACACAGUCAAAAGUCAGGAGUGCUAUAGUACACUAUUUUGAAUACUACUCUAUUUAACCCUUUUUUUGUUUUUCUCUUCGAUUAAAGUAAGUCCCUCUCAUUUCUUCAUAGAUCAAUCUAUAGUAGUGUAUGCCCCUCAAAGUAGAAAAUAUUGGCAUUGUCAACUGUUAAAAGUGUGUGCUGAAAGAACAAUAUGACAAUUUGGCAACUACAGCUUCAACGUCCUCACUGGGACUUGGUAUUAAGUCUGGGUCUUACUUUGAUCUUUUUUCCUGUAUUCACAUUCUGUAUGAAGUCACCCUUCCGAAUCACACCUUCAUAGAUUCUAGACAGGCAAUAAGAAAUAAUUAGUUGAGAAGCGAAAUAAUAAUACCCGUGUCCAAUAAGAAUAACAAUGCAUGAUAAUGCAACAAACUCAGUUUGUAGAAGAUCCACAAUCACCUUAGAUAUGUCAGCUGACCAAAACGACCUUCCUCAAGCUUAAAGGCUAAUGCUACAAGUGGACCAGCUGGAGUUCCAGAUAAGGAGACCUAACCAUCAAACCAGGUGGCAAUUCAUUAUGAAAGCUAAUAAAAAGAAAUAAGAGCUUCAUCAACAUAACAGGCAGAUAAAGUACAAACGCUAUUUACUCACAGAAAACUUCACGGCCUUUAUCUACUUUACAUAUUUUCCAUCUCUCCUCACUUCUGGCUUUGUAGGAUGAGUGGUGGAAGAUGGAAAGUGCAGUAAAGCGCAUAAAGGAGAAACAUGUGUUCCAUAUCUACUAUAUUAAAUGUAUUGGGGAGACCGUGUUCUACCUUCUCUUCUGACUUGUUUUGGUCAAGAGCAAAGUUCUCAACUUCCAGUGGGCAGGGUAGAUAGUCAAGCACGCCAUUAAGAAGAGGUUGAACACCCUAUAAAACCAGUCAAAAAAAUAAAAAAUGUAAGCAAUGAAACACCAACGACAAAUUUGUUGUAUUUCACACUUAGCAACCUAGCGUUAACAACAGUACAAUACAGAUGCCAACAGCAGGUUCUUACACAAGUACUAGCGCAAGAGUGCUCAUAACUGUGAACAAUCUUAUCUACACCUAAACCACCAAAGUAUGACAAUCAGUACAAUACACAAUCUUAAUGUGAUCAUUCUAGUGAAUAGGCAAUGCACCUCUAUGUUUACAUGCAAUUUGGCUAUAUAUUCUAUAACUUUGCUGGCAAAGGGAGACAACAAACGCAAAGCAAAGGCUCAAUUAUGUUACUAUCCUUAUACACUUCUUUAUAGUCAGGCUCUAAUGACUUUCAUGACGCGCAUGCAUGAGAGCAAUGUUUAAUCUACAGUACUCCAAUGAGCCGGUAUAAGGUAAUUACAAAUAGUAAAAUGGAUCUGACUAUCAAGGUCCUAGCUCAAACGUCAGUAUCCUUUUCAUGUUCGUCGUUUGCUUGUAAUCGCAAUGCUGUGCUCCAUUGAGUGCUUAAGGACGACCCCUGGAAUUACAAGGCCCUAACAGCAGUUAUACUCCAGGAAAGGUUACACGAUGAGGAUUGGUGGCUACAAGGAUCUCCGAGAUUCAUACAUGAUAGACGACACCGUAAAAAAAUUGACAUAAAACAAAUGCCCAAUUUUGUAGCACUUAAAAUAGCAGCAAGAUUGUAUGCCUUUGGUUGUUUGGAACAAUGUCUCUUACUCUAGCAAUACUGCUAACUGAUUAAGUAAUCAAAUUGUUGUAUCAACUCUUCUCUUUAAUUGAUCGUUUUAUGCAGAUCAUUUUGUCAAAUGUUAUUCUUUAAUCUCUUUCUUUAGUAUUGGUCGAGCAGUACUUGGUUUCAUCUAAUUCGCUGCUGUUAAUUUACCAGGGUUCAAGAAUGAGCCCGGCACUAGGCAGGUGAAUCAGGUGAGAUGAUCUUGCGCCAGCUGAUUAGGUUGUACCUAGGCUACGCCUAGGAACUGCACUGCAGGGGAGCAAGGAAGAGCUUUGGGGCUUGAAGGCGAGGGAGGCACUUCAAGAAGAGGCCAUAGAAGCGAUGAGCCUGACAUCAAGGCUGGAACGCAGAGGCAUGGGGAAUUUUGAGAUCGAGAACAAGGUUGCCUCGGUGAAGAUCGAUAACAGACAUGGCAGGUCCAGGUGAUGGCACAGGGAAAACGGUGACUCGGAUCAGGUCGACAAAGGGCCGCGUAAAAAAAACUAGCUUCCUAGCACAUGUUCCAACAAGAUUUCACUUUCCGAAACCAAAGUAACAUUUCUUGGGCAAUUAGUCUUAAAUUGUAACCAUUCUUGCAUUGCAAAUAGAUGACAUCCUCCUAGAAAGUGUGCGGUUGAACUUCUCUGGCUUCAACUCGUGCAUAUGGGAAAGAAGUUUAGAGUGAAGUGAAAAUAGCAUCAGUAGUUUUUCACAAAAAAUAUUUUGAAAGCAUAGUGUUAUUUUUAAUCUUUUACUAGCAUAUUCAUAAUAGUAUUAACAGUAUAAGUUGCAUGUUGGAAACUGUAGACCUUUGCCCUACGUCCAUAACAGCGUCUAUUAGCAAAGACAGAGACUAUAAGUUUACUUCUUAUAUUAUUAAUACAUACUCCCUCCGUCCCAAAAUAAGUGUCUCAACUUUAUACUAGCUCUAGUACAAAGUUGUACUAAGCUUGAGACAUUUAUUUUGGGACGGAGGGAGUAUUCAAUAAGGCUGUGUCCUUUUCAGUAUUACUGACACAUGAAACUGUAAAUCUUCUUAUAAUAAAGAUCUAAGUUCGUGGAGUUCCGUCCACCCUGUAAGUUACUAGGAAUUGCCACAGUUGUUAUCCAUUCUAUCAAGGGCAUAUAUGGUUGAUUCGAUUAAUGUAUAUUUUAAGAUAAAAAGUUUAUUUUACAAAAACUCAGGGACUAUGGUGGGACAAGCUUUUAAACAACUAAUAAUCUAUAACAAAAAUAACUUCAAACAUUUAACUAGUAAAUGAAAAGAACCAGACAAAGGACGGAAAAUGCAGCCAUGGACCUUAUUUUUGAAUGCACUCCCCAUGUAAACUGGUAUAAACUUGCGCGCUACGGUUGCCCUUCUGAUAGCAGCCUGGUCGAAAAGAAAAGAGAACACCAAAGACAUGGAAAUCAGUCGGGGGGAAAUGGCGUUAUCAAUAUUAUGCUAUUCCUAAAAGACAAUAUGAUACAGUUCAAGAAAUCAGGAAAGGUAUUAUUUGAAGUAGGUUUUGAACAAUAAUUCAUGUAAAUAGAAAUAUAGAAUUGGAACUAUCACAAGGUUAAAGUACAUAACUUUACAGAAUUUCAAACAUGUGAGGACAGUAGACUCCAUAUAUUAAACAUUAUACUUUAUAUGAAAUUCCCAAUACUUGUUAAAAAACAUUGGUGGAUUUUCGACUUCAGCAUUGUCAUUUCUAUUAAAAUCUGGUUAUUACGAAAACCACCAGCAACAGACUGCGCGUUUCUUUUUCAACCAACAAAACCUACUGACACCGCAUGCAUUCAGUAAUAAAUCUUAUAGCUUGAGACAAUGUAAGUUAGCAGUACUAAACAUGAUCACCAGAUAAUCAGAAUCAUUUUCAAAAUGACUUACCAUUCAUGCCACGCUCUAACAACCGGCUUAGGAAAAAAUCCACUAUCUAGCCAUCACAAUUCCUUUCAUAUGGCUUCUUAAUUCUAAAAUUAAGCACAUUUUACCAGUGUUGAACUUUUCAAGAAAUUCAUUAAACCUUGGGACUAUAAAACCAAGUACUUAAACCCAAAACUAUUUUCAUUUCCACCCUGAGUCAGCUUUGGAGCAUGGUUUCACUGACAAAUAUCACCAAGUAUUUAAACCCAAACACUUUUGCCUCCAUGGUUUCACCGGCAUGGACGCAAUUUAUGUGUGUACAAUUUAUAUUACCAAAUUUUGCUACAGUGGCAUCCCAGGCAUUUUUAGCAAAUAAAAACAUCCUCCAAGAAAUAAAAGGAAUUGAAGUCCUCAAUAAGUAAAUCAUCUUCGUAGAUUGCUAACUUGAUAUUGCAAAAAUAUUUGAUCACACAAACUGCAAUAUUCAAGGGGGUAAAAUCGUCCUGUUCCUUCAACAUGAUUGCUUUUUAGCAGCUACAGCUACAUCCAUUUCAAAAGAUGUAGCUAUAAUCUGGAAUGAUUUUCAGAUGGAUUGUAUGCUUAUAUAGUGAUUUCAUGAAAUGAUAUACGCAUAUAGAUACAAAAGAAAUUAAUAAUGGACGUUGGAUGAACCUUAAGCUCAUUAGCUGUUAUUGGCUCAUCAUUGAGAAAAGCUUCUGCAAGCUGGUCAUCGACUUCUGAAACAACUUCAAUAAGUUCACGUCGUUUGUCCAUUACAAAAUCUUGCAUGUUGGAUGGGACAUCAGAUGCAACAACCUCCUGUCUGCACAUUACAAACGAUGUGUCAUCCGAGAUUCCAGAUACUAAUAGCUCUCACAACUAAAUGCUUGUAAGAACAGGGACACACCCACUUCCACCCUCGAACUUCAAAGCCUUCAACUCCACAAGAUCCACAAGGCCCUCAAACUCCUCUUCCAAUCCUAUCGGCACUUGUACAGCUGCACUCUGGUGCCGUAGUUUGGCUCGUGCCUUCAGUAGAACACAAAAGCAAAACUCAGCUAUAGAAACUGAUAGCAACAACAGACAAGUGCAAGACACGUCACAGAACUAUAAAAACUGAACAUUAUCAGAAAAAAAAAUGGGAAGCCUGAAAGUGAACAUGACAAUGAUGCUUUCGAGUAGUAUCAAAAUGCAGCAACUCUAGCAUUAAGAUGUAAGCCUGGUCCACAUUGCAGAUACUAAAAAAGAAUACAAAGCCAGCCCUUGCACUUGUGAAGUCCCUGUUUUCCCCUUUUAUUUUGAACCGCCUAACUCAUACCUUGUACUUCCAAAAAGAUAAAACAUGAGCUUGUUUAGCCAUGAAGGGCAUUAAAUAUUCAAAAUGAACACAGGACAUCGGUGCAUUUCAGAUAGCACUUCAUGCAAAGCAAAGUAGCAAAUACUUGACAGCUAUUCCAACAGAAUUCAAAUGCAAUAGGAAGGGUAUUUAUUGUCUUGACCUUCCCUGUAUUAAACACGAUAAGGAUAGUGAUCUAGCAGUACGAUACUACCAUGGCAUACAGAGGUGUGUCCUCACAGAAAAUAUACAACGUAAAGACAUGGAACACAGACUUUUACCCACUCCCAGCAGGAGGGGGAAAUCCAGCAUGAAAGGAGAGAAGGGACAUUUUGCAUAAGCCUCUCACCCCUCAUAUAUGAUGAGAGAGCAUCCGUGCAUAUAGACCAUAGAAAUCAGACUCAUGCUCACCUGGUUGAGAACUCUCCAGGGAUCAGCUCCCAUGCGGUCCAACUUAUUAAUAAAUGCAACCCUUGGAAUUUCAUAUCUUUUCAUUUGUCGAUCAACAGUAAUCGAUUGACUUUGUACACCACCAACACUACAUAGCACAAGUAUAGCACCAUCAAGAACACGAAGGGCUCUUUCAACCUCAACAGUGAAAUCCACGUGACCUGGGGUAUCAAUGAUAUUAAUCUGCAACAAUAGAACCCAAGAACAGUGUAAGAUGGGUCAAAACAAAAGCAUUCAGACAGGACAAUACAAGGGAUAGUGAUCAAUGGUGGUAUACAUGACGACAAAAAAAAUUGCUUCUGGGAGGCAGUUCUAAAGUUCUAGUGGUAGUAGGUAUGUGCAUGGUUUUGAUGUAUCUGCUUCAACCAAUCAUACUGACCCCAGCCCACAGAUCCUAGUUUGAAGCCCAGUGGCAGGGGUAGAUGUGUUUGGGGCAAAAAAAAAAAACAGCUUAUAAAGAAAGCGGGUGGGAGUAGCAUGAGUUGACUCGGGUAGCUCAUUCAACUCACAUCUUUAGUUGCCACUUGCCAUGAAACUGAUGCCUAUCAAAACCACUCCUUCGAUUCUUUUGAAUGGCCUACUAUCAUGAAGCAAUUAUGUCUCCACUAAUAAUAGCUCGGGAGAAUUCACAUGUGGUACUCCACUUGAAAAAGAAUAAUGGCUAUUUGGUAUUAGCUGGCAACUCAUCCAUGUUCGGCAAUUUACAUCUCUAUCAUGUGGAUAUUUGCCAUUUGCUCCGUUCCUCACCUGAUCAUGGUUUUGGUAUAGUUAACGGGGCUACUUCAUUUGUGGCAUCAACAAUGCUUACGUGUUUAAGAAUGAAACCAUCAAUCACAUUCUCCUUACAUCUUUUUCUUUUGCAAUUGUAUGAAUGACAUCACAUGGUAUUCUUGAUUGAUAGUUUUUCCAAUUUUCUUCUCACAUUUCAUAUUGCCUGGACAUGUUGUGGAGAAAGCAAAAGCCAACAGCCAACCUAGUUAAAUUAGCCUUCAUCUUUAUAUGCCUAACUCCUGAGAAGAAACAAUAAUUUGUAGGGAACACCGUGCUGGCACACAAAUCUAGUCUGAAAAUUGUUGACUAGACCACUUUAACAUGAUGCGGUACAUGCAUUCUAGAGACACCAAAGCUACGGGCAGCAAUUCUAAAGAUGAAUGAUCUGGUUCAGGAUCUCGAUGAAAUAUCGAAAAUAUUAGAAGGACAGAGUGAAAACACAAAAUUGCAACUAAUGAAUAGUAAUUACGGCAAGCAUAUAUAUUAGUGUGAAGCAUAAAUAUUGGUCAGCUUGGUUUUAAUAUUUAAAUUCCAGGUGAGAGGUUAAUAUUGCGAGUUCUUCAAUACCACAUGUUAGUUAACACUGAUAUAUCCAGGAGAGAAUAAGCUUUGCUACUCAGUUACCAAAUAGUAUCGUUGCAUGGUUAUACUUUCUAGAGCUCCGAGCUUGUAAGUUACUCCCUCCGUCCCANNNNNNNNNNNNNNNNNNNNNNNNNNNNNNNNNNNNNNNNNNNNNNNNNNNNNNNNNNNNNNNNNNNNNNNNNNNNNNNNNNNNNNNNNNNNNNNNNNNNNNNNNNNNNNNNNNNNNNNNNNNNNNNNNNNNNNNNNNNNNNNNNNNNNNNNNNNNNNNNNNNNNNNNNNNNNNNNNNNNNNNNNNNNNNNNNNNNNNNNNNNUGGGACGGAGGGAGUAGCAUUUACCAACCGCAUUUGGUGUAUAACCUUACACACCAGCCAAUUAAGCUUCUGAACCAUAUAUGUUAGUGCUUAAAGGAAACAAAGUUACAUAUGCUAUCUGUCUCGUACUGAUUAACAAAAAAUAGUUACAGUUAGUAGCCCCAAUGUUGGAAUGGCGUGAGGUAACAGCAUUAUUAUUUCACAGUUGAUUUGUCAUAUGAUUGGACAUUAACUCAAACCCCAAUGCAAAUUUCUUUUUUUUUCUUUUUUUCAAGAAAACGCAAAGUACCUUUGCCUUUCUUUGCAUUGAAAAGGUGAGAGUUCAGUUACAAGGGUCCAAGGGCGCGCAGAUUACAUCAUGAUCAGUGCACAUCCCAUGUUUGUAGGAUCACUGCCCUAAGGCCAGCUACAAAAAUGAGCAAGAAGAGGAGAGAAAUGGACCUGGUAUCCGCUCCAGGUACAGUAGGUAGCUGCCGACUGGAUGGUGAUGCCCUUUUCGCGCUCGAGGUCCAUGGAGUCCAUCUUUGCGCCUACGCCGUCGCGGCCACGCACCUCGUGGAUCUCGUGGAUCCGGCCGGUGUAGUACAGGACCCGCUCCGUCAGCGUCGUCUUCCCUGAGUCGAUGUGGGCGGAGAUACCGAUGUUCCGCAUCCGAUCCAUGGACUCGCGCCACCGCGCCAACUCCUUGUCGUCUCCCCGCGCCCGCAGAGCCGACGCCGAGGACAUCGCCCUGCGGGCCGACGCCGCUGCGGCCGCGGCCGCGGGCGAGGGGGCGUCAGCGAGGGGCUGGAGGAGGAGGGAGAAAGGGCGGAAGGAGGAGAGGAGGUGGGAGGCGGAACGCCGGGCCAUGGCCAUCGCCGCCUAGGAAUUCUGGCGGCGGCGGCGUGGAGGUUUUUGGCCUGGUUGAACUAAAACCCUAGGGAGUUGGUGUGAACAACAUGUAUCGUAGAGGUCAGAAUUCAGAAGUGCAUCUGGGCAUUGGGGAGGACUGACGGCGCAGGACAAAGCUACGUCCGCGAGACAUGUAUCUCUACUACCGAGUACCAGUUAAAAUGCUCGUGCGUUGCCACAAGACAAAAUAUGAAUAUACUAGACAUUAGUGAUAGCUCCCACAAAGAACAUGUCACACAUUCAAUUUACUCGCGCUAAAUAUCGGUGUCAUUCUUCCCGUUUACCCUUUCCGCAACAACCAAGCAUCCACUCCUUUCCAAUCCCAUCCCAACCUAAAUGACGUAUCAUGACAAAAAUACAAAAAAUAAUAUAAAUUAAGAUCUUCGUUGUACUAAAUCAUUUAAAACCUGCAAGCAAAACAACAACAAGAAGUGCUAAAAAUGAACCAAGCAUUAAGAUUCAUAAUUUUAUCAUACAAUUUACAUGAUACAUGAAAUCAAUGUUAUAAUUAAAUUAUAAUGUGCCCUGAGUGAAAACAAAAAUGUAUAAGAAAUUGGGGAAACUACAUUAGUGUGUAGAGCAUCCUAAGCUGCCACACCACCAACCCUCCUCGUCAAUAGUGAAUGGGAUACAUCUCUUCCUCUCACAUCCAAUGCAUACCAUUCAAAAUCUAAUCCUCAUGUUCCUAAUAUUUUCAUGCCGAGGCAUCAGAUUUGGAGCUCCAAGGUGGGGAAGAUGUUGCUUUUGCCACCAUCGUUACUUUUGUCCCAGCGACCACAUGAAGCAUAUCAACAAAAAAGUUUACAAGAGGUUGUAUCAAAUUCAGAAUCAAUCAUAUAUAUUUCCAUUCCUUUCAUUGCAUAGAGGCAAAGAUAUGAGUAUCACUUGAGAAUACAUCUGAAAAAUAAAAGCAUCAAUAUAGAAUAGUGACUUGUAAAAAGGUCAACUUUGAGACAAAACAAAACAUGUAGAAAUGAUGAAACGAGCAUCAGUGACAAAUCCUGACCAGUUCUAGCUCAUUGCCUCCGGAGCACCGUCAUCAGGUCCCGGCCUAUGCUUUGUGCUGCACGUUGUUGUUGUUCAUUGAAAAAAGAAUUAGCCUGAUGCCAUCAUAUAAUAGACAAGGAGGAGUAUUAUGAAGCUUGAAGAACAUAUCAACAUUGGAAUAUACAUAAAUAUUCAUUCUGCACAAUUAUUCAUUAGGUCCCUCAAUCUACCCACGUAAAGGUAUCAAAUUCUGAACCUACUGGAGCUAACUACGGCAUGUGUGUGCUAGUAUAUGCUAUCGAACUCUGAAACUGAUUUUGCACAUCCUAAAACUGAUUUUUGCACAGCUUAAAGGCAGAAACAUUCAGGAAUAGACUCAAAUUUGGCUGGUUGGGCAAUUGUUGUUGUUGUUGACCUGUAAACAAAGAAUUUUGCGAAUUCCCACCUGGCUGAGAGAUUCCAAAGAGGAGGUGAGANNNNNNNNNNNNNNNNNNNNNNNNNNNNNNNNNNNNNNNNNNNNNNNNNNNNNNNNNNNNNNNNNNNNNNNNNNNNNNNNNNNNNNNNNNNNNNNNNNNNNNNNNNNNNNNNNNNNNNNNNNNNNNNNNNNNNNNNNNNNNNNNNNNNNNNNNNNNNNNNNNNNNNNNNNNNNNNNNNNCCGGUUGACGCGGUCCUUGAACUUGGAGAGGAAGCACUCGUGGUCGUCGCCGACCGAGGCGAUGCACUGCUGCGCGCCCAGCUUGUCCGCGUUCACCUCCUUGAGCUCCCCCUCCGGCAUGGACAGCACCGCCGUCAUCCAAUCCAAAUUAAGCAGAUAUGAAGCAUGUUUAGACACGCUCGUCAUGUUAGACCCGAUAGCAUGACCCCAUCGCAAAUUGCAUCAAAUUCACCCGACAAAACUUUCGGAUCCGUUUGAUUUUGCUCUCUUCUUCCUCCUGUGGGUCGUCUGUCUCGCAGCUCCGUCGCCACGCGCGCUCCAUUGCCGUUCCUAGCCUCUGCCUCGGCAGCUCCGACAGAGCAGUCUUUUGUCCCAUCCUUGUCGCGGAGGACGUCUCUCCCGGUCCGAAAGAUACCAUGGUAACUUUGUGGCUCCGCAUUGCGCUCGAUGUGUUCGACACAAUUUCUGAACUGAUAAUUUGUCAAUUUUUUAGGAAAAUCGAUGGAUUCCAAUGCUUCGUCCGGCGAGGUGUAUGGACCGACGGAGCUUGAUCAAAUUAUUCAAGAUGAGCUCUUUGAUUCCACAGAUUUGGGUGAAGUAUUGGACAUGAUCAUGCUCAUGACCAUGCAAAAGGAAAUGAACCGCAAGCGGAGCAUAUUCUCAAUUCAAUGGCUUGAUCAAAGGGAGAAGAGUGAUCAAUCUGGAUAGGGUAUCCGGAGCAAAGCUACCGCAGAAGAAUUACUCUACUCCGAACCCAACUUUCUCGAAUGAUCUGUGGUUUCAUCGUCGUCUUCGUAUGCGAAAACCAUUGUUUUUACGCAUUGUGGACGGAGUGGAGGCACACGAUGACUAUUUCAAGCUCACAAGAGAUUGCUGGUCAACUAUUUUUCUCUGCCAAGCGAAAAUGCAUGGCUCCUCUGAGAAUGCUUGCACUUGGUACUGCGACAGAUGGCGUUGGUGAGAUGGUCAGGAUGGGGGAGAACACAUGCGUGAAGACUAAUCCAAUGAGUGCUUGGCUCCCUACAAACGAAGAUAAGAGUCACCUCGAAGACGAAGCUCAAGAGAUGAGUCACCUCGAAGAGAGAGAAGGAGUGGAGAAGAUCGUUAUGAAUGAAGACACUCACGGAGACACAAGGAAUCGGAAAAGAAGGACAAAUACACCAAGAGCAACUCAAGAAGAAUACAUCAAGCUCAUGUUGGUGAAUGGGUCUCUGGCUUCGAGUCUGACAACCAAUCCGAGAGAAGCUAUCACUCCAACUCCAACUAUAGUCAAGAUGAAGGUGUUGCCGGCAUUGCACUCGUUUCCUCCAACUCCUACGACUUAUUUGAUUCACAAAAUGAGGGAGUCGGGAACUGCUUCAUGGCUAAAGGCCCUAAGGUAUCACAUCCAGGGUAUCUUGAUUUCAACGGUGAUGAGGAUGACCUGUUAGGAUAAGAUGACUUGCUCUUUGAUAAAACUAGUGAUUGCAGUGAAAAUGAACUUGCUAAUUAUCAUGCUAGUCAAGAGAAAUCGAAUGACGAUGAUAAGAAAGAGAUUGAACGACUAACACAAGAAUUAAACACUCUUAAGUUAGCUCAUGAAACUACUCUAGAAGAUCAUAGAGAGCUUGUAAGAACUCAUGAGAAGCUACGCUUCGAGAAGCUCAAUUUGGAGCAAGAGCAUGAGUUCCUAAAAGCGAUCAAUGAUGAUCUUCGAAAGAAGAGUUCUUCUUAUCUAGCCAAACUAUUACUCUUGUCUACUUUUGUUCCACAAGUUAAACCUAAGAACACUGGUAACAAAGGCAAGAAAGUUUCUUCAUCUAGUAACAACAAUGCUAAAGCUAAACCUAAUGUUCUUGCUAGUAGCUCUCUUGAUUACACUAAUGAUUCUCUUAGCCAAGUUACACUUGAGCAAGAAAACGAUUUAUUGAAAGGGACUAUAGAGAGAGGUGUCUUCAAGAGUCUUGUCGGAAGUAAAUAAUUUGAGGAAGUUGUACGCAAGCAAGGAGGACAUCGGAAGAAACAAGGUGUUGGCUACUUCAACGUCAACGGAGAAGAUUGUGAAGAAGGUCCAUAUCCCAUUCCUAAGUUUGUUCCUCAAGAGGAGAAGUAUGAUCCCACUCCUCCCAAGGGAACAAGCUCACAAGAUGACCUUACACCACAAGACCACAAGGGCAAGGGAAAGCUUCAAUAAGACAUUGACCUUUAUGAAGAGGAACCCCAAGUCAAGGUCAAGUGGAUUCCCAAAGACACUUCUAGCACUACAUCAUCUAGUGCUACCACAACUCCAAGGAUCCCCAUCAAGUUGAUGUGGAUCCCCAAGAGGAAGAACUAGAAAUUUCUUGAGGGGUGACUCUGCUAAUGAAAUUAACUCUCAUUCAUUUUGGCAAGAAAUAUAUGCAAUCAAUCUCAACCAUAUGCAUUAAUUCAAGGAGUCACACAUUCCCUCAAAGGUAAUCAAGGAACAAUGUAAUUAAUGCAUCUUUGGACAUUAUCCCAUGUGUGUUUCACUCCAUGUCCAUAGAUAUUCUUGCAUAUGUUCCUUUUGCUUUGAGACUAACCCAUGUAGGUGAGAAGAGUAAGAAACAACAAGGAUUGCUCCCAACUCAAAUGAUCUUCAUCAACAUUGAGCAUCCACCACUACUUCACCUACUUGAAGUCUUCUACGACAAAUAACAAGGUUAGUUUGUCCCUCUUAGGGGGGUGUCAUAUCAAGGGGGGGCUUUACUCUAAAUCUUGAGUAUAAGCAUCUCCUAAGGAUAUGAACACAUUAAUGCUGAUGUAAAAGUGGUAACCCCACUUGUGCUUAACGAUGAGUAUGACCUAUGAUCAAGUAUUCUUACUUGGCUCCUAUGUCAAUAUACUCAUAUAUAGAUGACUUCGUCAUCGCCCAAGUGCUUGAUAGCUGCUAGGAUGUUUGUGCAUGUUCACCGUAUUUUAUCUAUCAUUCUUAUUGUGUGAGCAUGUUGGUCUGCAUGUGUUUGCUCAUUUGAGGACAUCCAAUUGUUGUUAUUUGGCUCUUGAUUUAUCUUUUGCCGAUUGGAUGGACAAGAAUGCCUAGGACCCUUAUCUAGCUAUCUAUGCUAUAUCAUCUCAAGUUCUAUUCAUGGUUCAUCACAAAACUUGAACAAGCACUUGUCGAUCCCUCUGUGUGAAGAAGCACUUGGAGUUCCGUAUCGUCAAAGGUUGCCUUCCAAAACCUCUUUGUGAAUCUCGGUGAAACCAACUCCACAAACUCGAUUCCACCGAAUUCUAGAGUUGAUCUAGGUUUUCAUCUCGGUACCACCGAAAUCACAAACUCGGUUACACCGAGUUUCCGUGUCAACUGAUAGUAGAGGAACUCGGUGACACCGAUUUCGUAAUCUUGGUGACACCAAUAGCGAAAGGGUAUAUAUUCCAGCGGACCGAAUCUUUGAUUUCCAAUCGUCAAAGACAUUUUGCCUCAAACUCUAAGCUGCCUCGUGGACCCCUGUUCAUCACCCUUGACUCCCCGUGCGUCUCCGCCGUUGGGAAUCGCCACCGUCGACGAUUUCUUCUCCACCAUCUCCGUCGUAGCCGAACCGUCGCCGAAUUAGGGUACGGAUCCGCUCCUUUCUAUUGCGCUUCCUUGAUCUAACCCAUGCGCAUCAGAACCUUUAUCCACAAACCAGCGUGUGCUAGCCUCUCCAUCCACCAGAAAUUCCUAUAGAUUAGCGAACGAGAAGUUUUUAGGUUUAGUUGUCCGCAGACCCCAUCUUGGUGCCUCCGAGUUGCAAAAUUGGUGCUACCGAUUUUGAACCUAGGGUUCGUGUCACGCCCAAGAUGCGACCCUAUCCUCAAUUUGGCACGAGGGCCUCGUCAGGGAUAGAAGCGCAUCUCGUCGUGUCGCAAGAAUGGAUAUCGUUACAAGUACAUGUACUGAAAAGAAGAGAUAUAUAUAGAGUUGGCUUACACUCGCCACAAGCUACAUCAGAGUCACAUCAGUACAUUACAUAACCAUCAAGAGUAAGAUCAGGGUCCGACUACGGACGAAAACAAACGAGAAAAUAAGAACGACGUCCAUCCUUGCUAUCCCAAGCUGCCGGCCUGGAACCCAUCCUAGAUCGAUGAAGAAGAAGAAGAAGCAACUCCAAAUGAACAAUCAACGCGCUCACGUCGAGUAACCUUUACCUGUACCUGCAACUGUUGUUGUAGUAAUCUGUGAGCCACAGGGGACUCAGUAAUCUCAUUUCCAAAGGUAUCAAGACUAUCAAAGCUUAAUGGGUGAGGCAUGGUUAAGUGGUGAGGUUGCAGCAGCGGCUAAGCAUAUAUAUAAGGUGGCUAAACCUACGAGUGCAAGAAAUAAAAGGGGGAAGAUCUACACAUAACGGACGUGUCUACUGAUGAUCGAAUGAAUGAUACUGAANNNNNNNNNNNNNNNNNNNNNNNNNNNNNNNNNNNNNNNNNNNNNNNNNNNNNNNNNNNNNNNNNNNNNNNNNNNNNNNNNNNNNNNNNNNNNNNNNNNNNNNNNNNNNNNNNNNNNNNNNNNNNNNNNAAUGAAUGAUACUGAACACCUACCUACGUCAGACAUAACCCCACCGUGUCCUCGAUCGGAGAAGGAACUCACGAAAGAGACAGUCACGGUUACGCACACAGUUGGCAUAUUUUAAUUAAUUAACUUUGAUUUAUCUAGAACCAGUGUUAAACAAAGUUUCCACGUUGCCACAUAACCGCGGGCACGACUUUCCGAAAAGAUUUAACCCUGCAGGGGUGCUCCAACUAGUCCAUCACAAAUUACUACAAGCCGCAUAGAAAUCCUCAAUCACGAAACUCGCGAUCUCGUCGGAUUCCCUAGUGGAAAACCUCAACUCUGAGAUUACCCAAAGCAUCACCGGAAUCCCGAUGCACAAGAUAUUCUGUCAAAGGUAAAACUAAUCUAGCAAGGCCACCCGGUGUGUCGACGAACCCGAUAGGAGCUGCGUAUCUCGUUCUCANNNNNNNNNNNNNNNNNNNNNNNNNNNNNNNNNNNNNNNNNNNNNNNNNNNNNNNNNNNNNNNNNNNNNNNNNNNNNNNNNNNNNNNNNNNNNNNNNNNNUGAGAACGAGAUACGCGGCUCCUAUCGGGUUCGUCGACACACCGGGUGGCCUUGCUGGAUUAGUUUUACCUUUGACGAAAUAUCUUGUGCAUCAGGAUUCCGGUGAUGCUUUGGGUAAUCUCAGAGUUGAGGUUUUCCACUAGGGAAUCCGACGAGAUCGCGAGCUUCGUGAUUGAGGAUUUCUAUGCGGCUUGUGGUAAUUUGUGAUGGACUAGUUGGAGCACCCCUGCAGGGUUAAAUCUUUUUGGAAAGCCGUGCCCGCGGUUAUGUGGCAACGUGGAAACUUUGUUUAACACUGGUUCUAGAUAACUCGAAGUUAAUUAAUUAAAAUAUGCCAACUGUGUGCGUAACCGUGACUGUCUCUUUCGUGAGUUCCUUCUCCGAUCGAGGACACGGUGGGGUUAUGUCUGACGUAGGUAGGUGUUCAGUAUCAUUCAUUUGAUCAUUAGUAGACACGUCCGUUAUGCGUAGAUCUUCCCCCUUUUAUUUCUUGUACUCGUAGGUUUAGCCACCUUAUAUAUAUGCUUAGCCGUUGCUGCAACGUCACCACUUAACCAUGCCUCACCCAUUAAGCUUUGAUAGUCUUGAUACCUUUGGAAAUGAGAUUGUUGAGUCCCCUAUGGCUCACAGAUUACUACAACAACAGUUGCAGGUACAGGUAAAGGUUACUCGGCGUGAGCUCGUUGAUUGUUCAUUUGGAGUUGCUUCUUCUUCUUCUUCAUCGAUCUAGGAUGGGUUCCAGGCCGGCGGCCUGGGAUAGCAAGGAUGGACGUCGUUCUUAUUUUCUCGUUUGUUUUCGUCCGUAGUCGGACCCUGCUCUUACUCUUGAUGGUUAUGUAAUGUACUGAUGUGACUCUGAUGUAGCUUGUGGCGAGUAUAAGCCAACUCUAUAUAUAUAUCUUCUUUUCAGUACAUGUACUUGUAACGAUAUCCAUUCUUGCGACACGACGAGAUGCGCUUCUAUCCCUGACGAGGCCCUUAUGCCAAAUUGAGGAUAGGGUCGCAUCUUGGGCGUGACAACCACAUUGCCUUCUGCAUGAUUGUGAUAUUACUCAUUCUGAAAUAUUUAUUUCUAGUCUCCUUUAAGACUCCGAAGGAGCGUCUACAUUUAUGUUUUGCUUCACUCAUGGGGCUAGCGAGAUACCACUCUAGUAUGUCCAAGUCAUGUGCAUUGUGAUCUCAUCAUGAUUUUCAAUUGCAUAUUAUUCAUUCAUAGUUGUUUGAAACUCUUCACAUGAUCGAAGGAUUGCUUCGUGCAUUGUCUUUGUAGCAUUGCUUCAAUACUUGUUGAACUUGUUCGUAGUGCAUGCUUAUAUACAUCUAAUGAAGCAAAAGAGUUUGUGAAAGUUUUCUUUGUCGCGUCCAGUUCGUUGAACUGAAUUGCUUGAGGACAAGCAAUAUGCUAAGCUUAGGGGAGUUGGUACGUCUCAAACAUAUCGACUUUUCCAAACACUUUUUCUAUUGCUUUGGCCUCAUUCUUGCAUGAUUUGAACGAAACUAACCCGACUGACGUUGUUUUCAGUAGAGUUGCAUGUAUGGUUUUCUUGUGUGCAGGAAAAUGGAUUUUUAGGUGUACCGGAAAAUUCCAAUAAAAAUAGAGAAAAUACACGCAUCGGGAGGAACCCUUGACCAGAAGAUGGGCCAGAGGGGGGCCACCAGGCCUCCAGGCGACCUGGUGGCGCGGCCUGCCCCUGGCCGCGUAGGGAGACCGCCUGGGUGGGGGCCACCUCCUCUGGUGCCCUACCUUGGCUCCUAUUUUUACCCGAGACGGAGAAAUUCCAAAACAGAAGUCGUUUCGCCAAUUCUCGACGCGGAGCCACCGCCACCCUCGGUUCUUCUCCGGGAGAGCUAAUCUGGAGGCUGCCUUGGCCUUCGGAGAGGGGAAAUCGUCGCCAUCGUCAUCGCCAUCGCCACUCCAUCACCCUUCCAUGGCUUCCCCUUUCAUGUGUGAGUAAUUCCCUGAUGUAGGUGAAGGGGUGGUAGGGAUUGGAUGAGUUAGAUCGUGUAAUAGUUCGUCAGAUUGUUGGGGGCAUGUUGCCUAUCAUCUACUAUGGUGUUUAUCAUCUUUGCUACUACUUGUUACUCUCAAUGCUUUUCACUUUGGGCCCGAGUGCCAUGAUUUCAGAUCUGAGUACCUUAUGUUUUCAUGAAUAUAUUUGUGUUCUAGAUCCUAUCUAUGAGUAGUAUGCACCUAUUAUAGUCCGAAACCGGAGAUCCCAAUGGUGACAGCUCGGGACACCAAAGGGGAUAGACUAUAAUUUGAGGAUUCCAUGUAUCCAUUGUUCCGGUGCUCUUUGAUAGGAGCACCUUAAUCUCCAUAAGUUCCUUUUGGCCUCGUUGGUAGCGGGAUGGUAGGACAAAAGAUGUUGUGCAAGUUCUUAAUGCAAGCACCCACGACUACCUUGGGAUACAUGCCUAAUGUUUAAUAUUUUCCUAGAUGAUCAUUACUUUUCUAUGUGCCUUGCCCCAAGUUAAAUAUGAUAUCUCUCAUCCAUGAACAACCACCCAUCUCCCUAGCCUACAGUGUUUUAAUCCUGCUAGUUACAAGUUGCUUUACUUUUGCUGUUUUACUUUCGUUGCUUGCCACCAGCACUUCCAUAUCACCAUUGCUACUAAUAUUUCGUUGCCAAACAAGUAUAUUUCAGGUGCGGUUGAAUUGACAACUCAACUGUUAAAGCUUAUAAAUAUUCUUUGGAUCCCCUUGUGUCGAAUCAAUAAAUUGGGUUAACUUACCCGCGAAGACUAUUGCGAUCCCCUAUACUUGUGGGUUAUCAAGACUAUUUUCUGGCGCCGUUGCCGGGGAGCAUAGCUUUAUUUACAAGUCUACUAGGAGUUAUUUUGCUUGCUGCGAUUUAUCCGCUAUGGGUAAGAAAGGAGACCCCAUGGUUCCAAUUUUACCAUCCACUACAAGAAAAGGUAUUGUUCUUAACGCUAGUGCUAUGCUUGAUUCACCUUCCGUUAUGAGUAAGUUUGCUUCACCACCACCACAUGCUGCUUCUACCGAGUCCGUCACUAUGUCUGAUACUUUUGAUGAUGCUUCUACUACUAUUGAUGAGACUAGUUUACUUUGUUAUUUUAUUGAGUCCUAGAUUUGUAAGGCUGCGAAGCUGUCUGGAAUUGAAAUUCCUAUUACACGCUACCCCAUUGGUAGAUCCUUUGGUUACCCAGACUUGAGUGGUCUCAAGGAAAGAAUUCUUGAUGAUGAUUAUAUUGAACUUGAUGAUGAUUUAUGCAGGGAGCUUAUAGAGUGUGCUGACUCUGACCUUGCUGCUGUUAAGAAGCUGCUUGAAAAGCAUUCUAUUAAGAACAAAUUUACUCCUGAUCCUAAAUUUGCUUCAUCUCCUAUUUGAAUUGAGGAUGGUGAUUUUAAUUUCUCUGUCGAUCUUUCACUUAUAUCCACAGUUGAAGCUGACCCCUUUUAUGCCAGAGAAAAUGACGACGUUAUUGCACACCUCACCAAACUCACUGAGUUGGGUGGCUUAUUCACUACAGAGGACAAGAAGAGAAAUUAUUAUGUUUCUAAGCUACUUCCUUUCUCUUUGAAGGGAGAUGCUAAAGCAUGGUAUGAUGCACUACCAUGUGGUUCCAUUAAGAGUCUUCCAGAUUUAGCUCAAUAUUUUGUUGCUAAAUAUUUUCCUACUCAUAAUCAACAUGUUGCUUUACAAAGAAUAUAUAACUUUAAACUGUUGCCGGAUGAGCACCUCCCUAAAGCCUGGGGGAGGUAUUUCACUUUACUCAAGGCUAGACGAGUACAUGGAAUCCCUAAGAAUGAAUUGCUUGAUAUAUUUUAUGUUGGUCUAACCGACGAAUCUAGAACCUAUCUGGAUAGUUGUGUUGGUUGUGUUUUCACGGAAAGAACACCGGACGAUGUUGAAGAACUAAUGGGCAAGAUAGCUAAGAAUCAUGAUGAUUGGUCUGUUCCUCAACCACCUCCACCACCAAAGAAGGGGUGUGCUUUUCUUGAGCCCCAAAGUUAUGCAAGAAGCCAAGAAGUAUAUUAAAGAGAGAGGUAUUAAAGCUUAAGAUUUGAAGAAUCUACCUCCUAUUGAGAAAUUAUGUGAGCCUACCACUCACCCACCUAUGGUAAAGGUACACUCUCUUUUAGAAUUCAAUGCAAGUGACAUCCCUCAUGGUAAGCCCCCUGAUCAAUGUUUAGAUGAGAUUGAUGAUUUCAUUGUCAAGCAAAGUUGCUUUAAUGAGAGGAUUCAAAGUCAAUUGCAUGAUAAUUCCCUUGUUAUCAAAAGUUUGCUUGAUGUUUUAAGUAGAACUGUUAAUGAUGUUAAAGGUCUUGUUAAGCAUUUUCAUAUGGUUCAAACUCAGCUUGAACAAAUUUCUAAUGUGCAAAAGGAUUUUCUUGCUAACAAUGCCACACAAGUUGAUACACACGCAUAUGGUAUAAAGACCUGAGGUGGUACACACACCCAGGACCCCCUCUAUCUGGAGGGGCAUCCAAAGAGGAUCAAGCAAGAUUCUCAAUUGCAGGAAGAAGAUGUUGUUAGCUCCCCAAAGAAGAAGAAGAAACACAAGGAAGCUAACAACUCCAAUGAUCCCACAAUUGAUGAAGAACCUAUUGUUGAUCCUAAUAGUAUAUCUAUUUCCAAUGUUGAAACUGAAGAUGGUGUUGAACCUGAUAAAGAUAAUGAGAAGAAUGACCCUCCUAAAGUACAAGAAGAAGAAGCACCCGACAAGCGCAAGAGAUAUACUAGAGAAGACUUUGUUGCAAUAGGACAUGGGAAGGAAAGAGAACCAUGGGUACAGAAAUCAAUGCCCUUCCGAGGUAAGUCUUUCAAAACCAAAGAAGAAGAGCAUUACAAUAAAUUUUGUGAAUGGAUGAAACCUCUUUUUCUUCAAAUUCCUUUGACUGAUGCUAUUAGGUUGCCUCCAUACUCGAGGUAUAUGAAAUAUAUUGUUACUAAUAAAAGAAAAGUUCCUAAUGAGGCAAUAUCUACUAUGCUUGAUGAUUACUCUUUCAAUGGUAAGAUUCCUGAGAAGCUUGGUGAUCCAGGUAUACCCACCAUUCCUUGCUCCAUAAAAAAUAAUUAUUUCAGAACUGCUUUAUGUGAUCUUGGUGCGGGAGUGAGUGUUAUGCCUUUAUCUCUUCACAAAAGGCUUUGUCUAGAUAAACUAAUCCCUAUAGAUAUCUCUCUUCAAAUGGCUGAUAAGUCAACAGCUGUUCCUGUUGGUAUUUGGGAGGAUGUUCCCGUUGAAGUUGCUAAUUGCUUGAUCCUUACUAACUUUGUUGUGCUUGACAUGCCCGAGAAUGGGAGCAUGUCUAUUAUUCUUGGUAGACCUUUUCUUAACACCGCAGGUGCUAUUAUUGAUUGCAAUAAAGGAAAGGUGACUUUCAAUGUUAAUGAGCAGAAGCACACGAUAUAUUUUUCGAAGAAGAUUGAUAAAAGGCAUGGCCUUAAUUCUAUUGAGAAUAUUGAGACCGUGAAGGAUGGAGAGUGGGAUUGUCCUCUACAUGUGCACCAUAAAUACAAAACCAUUAUGGUGGGGACAAUAUCCAUUAAAAUAAAGGUACCAUGAUUGCUUUAUAAGAAGUGAAACUUUUUGCUCGAUAUAACACCCGUUUGGUAGUAAGACUUGAUCAACCUUGCUAACAAACAUGUUUUAUGUGAGUAAAAAGAGAAGCUUGUCAUGUAUUCAUUUCCUUUAUCUUUCUUCCUCCUUGUUGUACCAAAGUUUUAUGUUUUUGAAGCUUCAUGUGUUUAACCAUUGCUUUGAGCUUUCCGGAAGUUUUGCAGCUUUCGGUACUUCAGAUUCUUUUCAAAAGUGAAGUUGUCAGAACAAAUCCAGAAAAAUUAUAAUAAAAAUUUCCAUCAAAAAAUAGACACAUGGGCACCUCGGGCUGACCAGGGAGGUCCACCCCUAGUCCAGGCGGCCAGGUGGCGCGGCCUGGCCCCUGGACGCGCCCAGAGGGUGCCUGGGCCCACCUUGUCCCCUUUCCAGGUACUUUCUCUUCCCUUCUCUCUCUCUCACUCCAAAAAUCCCGAUUUUUCUGCUGGAGCUCGAGUUCUUGUUGUUCUUGGUGGCAAAUUUCGAUCUCUCUCUACAACCCAUCAUUUGCAUUGAGAAUUUGAGCAUUCCUCCUUGGUAUGUGACUCCUCCACUCCUCCAAUUAGAAUUUUGAUUGGUAGUCUUAUUUAUGAGUAUUUAGGAGUUCUUGGUGCUGUUCAUAUGAGCUUGCAUGCAUAUUUAGAAAGUUCUUUAUGAAGUUUUGAUGCAAGUUUAUGCCUUGGGGAAGUGAGUAGAAUAGUUUGCUCCAACUCAUUUUGCUUAAACCUUCAUUUUUGUGAUGUACCAAAAAUUUCAGAAAUGAGUUUGUUCGGAAAAGCAAAAGGAUGGCUUGGGAAGAAGAGACCCGAGCCUACCGAUAGACUAACCAGAGCUGCAGCUUCACCCUCUACUGUGAGGACAAGUUACAAUGAUGAUAUCCUACCACCGGAGUUGCUCCACGAGACGGACACGCCACAUCCCAUGACACACCCGUGUUCAGAUUCUCUUGCGGCAGCAGGUAUUAAGGAUGAGUUUGAUAACCUUUGUGCAGCUGCAGGUUUGACACGUCUUGUAACAUGACAUGUGCAACAAUAUCCAAAACUCACCUAUUAUUUUGUCAACUGGUUUAGAUAUAAUGAUAAAACUUCCAUGAUUGAAUUCAAAUUAUAUGAGGAUGUCUUUACCAUGUCUUUGGCAGAAUUUUGUGUCGUUAUAUGUGUACGGAAUGUUGGUAAGAUGGCCAAAAUGAAAGUUCAUCCCUACGAGCUGAAAUCCCUAUUCCCCUCCCUUUGUAGCAAGGAUCCGCGAGACAUUCACCGGGGGAAGAUUCCAGCAUCUUGUUUCCCCACAUCAGGUAAUUUGCAUACUAUAUUGCUUGAGGCGUGUUAGCUCAUGACAACACGAGCAACAUUUCGGCUCCAGAUCUUUCUAUCUUGGCAGCCGCCCUCUUAGGAGAUAACACGUAUAAUAUUGGUGCUUUGAUUGCUCGUCGCCUCGUCGCUACCAGCGGCAAAGGGCCUCACUUUGGUGGCAUUUAUGCCACGUUUAUCCUCGAGCAUCUCAAGCACAGUGUACGUGCGGGUGAUGCGCCUUUUCCAUUCAUAAACUUUGAUCCUACCUCUAUGAAGAGGCAUGAGUUUGUUACUAGGAAUUCCGAGUUUGGUAACCUUGUUUAUAUUAUGAGGUUUGGCGAGUUUACUACUCGCGAGAUCCGUCUACCUGCACCACUUUUGUUUUAUUAUACUAGCAGGAACAGAUGGUUCUUCACCACGAUUGAGCUGGACGAGUUCGUAAUCCAGCAGCAGUUCCAUAACCCCAUGGAGGGGGUUGUUCCCGAGGAAGAGGAGCCUUCUUCUUGGGAGGACACCAGGACAUCAGUCUACGCGCCCGAGGCCCCGUACGAUUCUUUGAGCUAACAGUACCACCCUGGAGCCGGAGGGAGCUCCUGGAGCCCGCAGUAGCCAAGCCCAACUUAGGCCAAAAUCCUAAGCUUGGGGGAGUACGUACCCUUCUCCCCUUUCAUUGUAUCAUCCGUUGUUUCCUUUUUAAUCUUUUCGGAGUUUUUGCUUGUUCUUCUUUGUUCUUUCUUUUGAAAAAACAAGAAAAGAUUUCUCUUUUCUUUUACUUUCGUUUAACCUUUGGAAAACACAAAAAGAUUUCUUUUCUCUCUUUAGUUUGCUUUGUUUGCAGAGUUCAGCUCACGUCCAUGGUUGAAAUUGCACGUGAUUAUAUCUUUCUACGUUCGAUAGUGCAAGUGACGAUGCAACAAUGACGAAGAUCGAAGGAAGGGAUGCAACAAGGAAAGUCGGUAUGAACUCUAUUUGUUUCUACUUUUGUACAUAUGCAUGUACUUAUGAUCUAGAGACCAUCUUCUAGCGACAUAGUGCAAUGUUUACAAUUGAUACGUCUCCAACGUAUCUAUAAUUUUGUAUGGUUCCAUGCUAUUAUCUUGUGAAACGUUGGAUGUUUUGUAUGCCUUUUACAUCUUUUUGGGGACUAACUUAGUAACUCAGUGCCAAGUGCCAGUUCGUGUUUUUCCAUGUUUUUUACCCUUUUCAGAGGAGAAUAUUAAACGGAGUCCAAACGGAAUAAAACUUCCAAAAAGAUUUUUUUCCGGAACAGAAGAUACGCACGGGGCGUGAGAACUAAGGCAGAGGCCACCAGGGGAGGCCACAAGCCCCCUAGGCGCGGCCAGCGGGCUCGCCUAGCAGGCUUGUGGGCCCCUGUGGCUCGUCUGCCCUACUUCUUCCGCCAAUAAAUCCCCGAAAAAUCCAAAAACCACGGGAGAGAUGCACGAAAAUACUUUUCCGCCGCCGCAAGCUUCUGUCUCCGCAAGAUCCCAUCUGGGGCAUGUUGUGGUGCACUGCCGGAGGGGGAUUCGGAUACGGAGGGCUUCUUCAUCAACACCAUUGCCUCUGCGAUGAUGCGUGAGUAGUUCACCAUAGACCUUCGGGUCCAUAGCUAGUAGCUAGAUGGCUUCUUCUCUCUCUUGGAUCUUCAAUACAAAGCUCUCCAUGAUCUUCAUGGAGAUCUAUCCGAUGUAAUCUUCUUUUGCAGUGUGUUUGUCGAGAUCCGAUGAAUUGUGGAUUUAUGAUCAGAUUAUCUAUGAAUCUUAUUUGAGUUUCUUCUGAUCUCUCUUAUGCAUGAUUUCAUAUCCUUGUAAUUCUCUUCGAGUUGUGGGUUUUGUUUGGCCAACUUGAUCUAUGAUUCUUGCAAUGGGAGAAGUGCUUGGUUUUGGGUUCAUACCGUGCGGUGACCUCACCCAGUGAUAGAAGGGGUAGCGAGGCACGCAUCGUGUUGUUGCCAUCAAGGGUAAAAAGAUGGGGUUUAUAUCUAUUGCAUGAAUUUAGCCCUCUACAUCAUGUCAUCUUGCUUAAGGUGUUACUUUGUUCGUCAUGAACUCAAUACACUAGAUGCAUGCUGGAUAGCGGUCGAUGUGUGGAGUAAUAGUAGUAGAUGCAGACAGUAUCGGUCUACUUGUCUCGGAUGUGAUGCCUAUAUGUAUGAGCAUUGCCUUAGAUAUCGUCAUGACUUUGCGCGGUUCUAUCAAUUGCUCGACAGUAAUUCGUUCACCCACCAUAAUAUUUUCUAUCUUGAGAGAAGCCUCUACUGAACACUAUGGCCCCCGGGUCUACUUCACAUCAUAUUUUCAGCCUUACACUUUUACUUUGUUGCACUUUCCACCCUCAGAUCUCACCUUGCAAUCAAUCGUGAAGGGAUUGACAACCCCUUUGUAGCGUUGGGUGCAAGCUCGUUUGUGUUUGCGCAGGUACUCUGGACACUUGGCUUUAUUCUCCUACUGGAUUGAUACCUUGGUUAUCGAAACUGAGGGAAAUACUUACUCCUACUGUGUUGCAUCACCCUUUCCUUUUCAAGGGAAAAACCAACGCAAGCUCAAGAGGUAGCAACAAUGCUUUCCCAGUAGUUCAUGCUUUAUUUGUGACUAGUCUCAAAUAGCUAGAGUGCAUAAUGUGAUAUUGAAAUGAUUUGCAUGCAUUGCAUUGUUCAUGGUUUGGCAUAUUGAAGUGGUAUUUCCCUUUGGAUAUUUUUCUAGAUUGACUUGGCACAUGCUCACACUUGUUUAUGACUAGAAGUCUAUCAAGCCUUGAUGAUCUUUUUAAUUCAGAAUAGUUAUAUCAUUUUCAAGCCCGAUUCAAUGUUGCUUUGUCGCUCUGCAUGAUUAUGACUGUUAUUCGUCUCUAGUUGGUCGCUUCCCCAUCUUCUGCUAGCCUUCGCGUGCACUAAGCGGACUGACCGCUUGUGCAUCCAAAAUCCUUGAAACCAGUUACGCCAUAUGAGUCCACCAUACCUACCUAUAUGCGGUAUUUAUGUGUCGUCCUAAGUAAAUUUGCAUGUGCCAUACUCUAAAUCUUCAAAUAAAUAUUUUGUUUUGUAUGUCCGAAUCGCUCAUGUAAUGACUAGGAGUUGUUAGUAUCUUCCAUGCUAAGUGGGUUAUUCUCAAGAUAUGUGUUGAUUCACUAUCAUUCACAAGAAAGUGGCUGGUAACCGGGAUGCCCGGUUCCAUGCUCAAAAGUCAAAUAAAAUUUAAUGAAACAAAACUCCCCCAGGAUUGUUGUUUGUAUGGACGGUACCCGUGGAUUCGGCCCGGUGUGGAGUGUGAUCGAUUGGUGGAGGGGGAGUAAAAACUUUACUAUUUUGUUUGUGAAACGCCUAUAAUGUAUUUAGCAUGGAAGAUAUUGAGAUCUCUUAGUUGUUACGUUGACAAUGAAAGCAUACCACCCAAAUUUUUUAUUCAUCCGUGUUUUAAAAGCUCAAGCUCUGGCACCUCUGCAAAUCAAUGCUUCCCUCUGCGAAGGGCCUAUCUAUUUUACUUUACUGUUGAGUCAUCCUCUUCUUAUAUAAAAAAGCACCAACCACUGAGAGCAUAAUUGUCAUUCUGAGUGUAAUGUGCAUUGUCCCAAAGUACCACUGUGACAGCCCGAUGCCGACGUUCCANNNNNNNNNNNNNNNNNNNNNNNNNNNNNNNNNNNNNNNNNNNNNNNNNNNNNNNNNNNNNNNNNNNNNNNNNNNNNNNNNNNNNNNNNNNNNNNNNNNNNNNNNNNNNNNNNNNNNNNNNNNNNNNNNNNNNNNNNNNNNNNNNNNNNNNNNNNNNNNNNNNCCCUUCUAUUCCGUUUCCGUCGUGUGUUAUUUUUAUUGGUUGCUUCAUCAUGUAGUUUGCAUUGUCGCAUCAUGCAUGGCAUCUUGCAUUGUCUGUUGCGUGUGGUAUUUUGAGUGUGUGUGCUUCAAGUGCUCUCGGUGUCUUUGUGUGCAAUAGGAACUCCCCCUCUCUCCUCUUUUAAUUAUUUUGUGGUUGCAUAAAAUUUUCCGUUUUAACCUCUAUUUUAAAAAGGGUUCGUCUUCUUUUAAAAGGUCCUUUUAUUAAAUGUGGGGGCAACCCUUGGGUUUCCUUUAUUUGUUUUCCUUUUGUUUAUUUUUUUAAGAACUAGAGACUCUUUUAUUUUAAAAAGGGGUUUGAUUUUAUUCUUUUGUAAAAAAAAGGGUUUUAUUUUAAUUAUUAAAAAAAGGGUUCAUUUUUAUUUGUUUAAAAAUGCCCAAUCUAUUUUAUAGUUGGGGUAUUUUUUUCAAGGAGCCAAAAUCAUUUUUUUAUGUUGUUGAAAUCGUUUUCUUUUAGAGUGUGAUUUAUGUUUUUAAAAAAAGGGAUAAAAAACAUAAAGAGAGAGGAGGAGGCCCACUUGGACAAGGCCGAGGCCCAAGACCCAUGUUAACCUAGCGCCACGGGAGAGCUCCUCGCUCGAAUCCCUCCUGCGCCACCGAGCCCGUCUCGUCCGCCCGACCUCCUCUCGUUCCUUCCCCGUNNNNNNNNNNNNNNNNNNNNNNNNNNNNNNNNNNNNNNNNNNNNNNNNNNNNNNNNNNNNNNNNNNNNNNNNNNNNNNNNNNNNNNNNNNNNNNNNNNNNNNNNNNNNNNNNNNNNNNNNNNNNNNNNNNNNNNNNNNNNNNNNNNNNNNNNNNNNNNNNNNNNNNNNNNNNNNNNNNNNNNNNNNNNNNNNNNNNNNNNNNNNNNNNNNNNNNNNNNNNNNNNNNNNNNNNNNCCCCGCGCACCUCCUGCUUCCCCCGCGCGCCAGUUCCCGUGCUCGCCCUGCUGCCGCCUCGCCUCGCCAUUCGCCCGAGCCACCUUGGCCGCCUCCCUGCGCCAGGCCCUCGUCGUCGUUCACCCUCGCCCUCUUCUCCCUGUCGCAUGUGCCCGCGGUUCCCCGCGGUGCCCAUCCCUCGCCGCCUCGGCUCGCCGUUCCCCGCGCGCCGCCCCUAGCGGCCUCACGUUCCCUGCCGAGCCGCCCCUCCAGGGCCCGGCCUCCUCCUCCGGUUGCCGUCGUCGAGCUGCCUUCGUCCCACGCGCCCCCGUCCUUGCCGCUUCUUGGCGAUGCUGCUGCCUGAUGUUGUUGUUGCUGUUGUGCCGGUUGCUAUAGCUGCAAGUUGUUGUUGCUGAAGCUUGCAUGUGCUGUUCCUGCUCCUGUCGUCGCGUCGUGUCGUCGUGCUGCUGGUCGUCUGAUGUGCUUGUGUUGCCUUGCUAGAUGCUUGCCUAUUGCUGCUGCUGGCAUAUCGUGCUCCUGCCGCCAUGGUGCUUGCUGCCAGCUAGCUUGCCUGUCCAUGUCGCCGAGUUGCUAGUUGCUGCCGAGCCUGUUGCUGCGAUUGUUGUUGCUCUUGCUGCAUGAUGUGCUUGCGGCUACUAUUUUUAGUUGCUGCUGUUUGUGGCUGUUGCUUGUUGUAGGUGCUGGCCGAUGCUUGUUGUUUGCUUGUGUGCUGCCUGCCUGCUUGCUAUGUUGUAGCUGAUGAUGUAGCUCGCUGCCGCUGCUUGCCGUUUUGCUAGCAUGUUGCUAGUUGCUGCUUGCCUUGCUCUAGCUUGCUGUUAGUGUCGCCUGCCGUCACCGAAGGCCGUGUGCACCAUCCCUGCCUGCCGUGGUUCGUCAACAAGUUCACCGAGCACCACGUCGUCCUCGACGACCCCCGCAACGUGUUCGACUACCGAUGUUAAGACCGUGUACCGACGACAAGAGAACGACUACCGUCGACGAGACCCGAGCAGCACGACUACCACUACGACCACGACGACCGUUGUUCUCCUUCACCGAUCCGAACCCCUCCGUUUGCACGCUUCAAAGGUAUACCGAUGAGACGUGGCCGAGAAACGUAUUCAUGUGAUGUAUGAGAUGAAUGUAUGUAUGCACCGUAUGUUGCCCGUUGCACGUUGUCCCUCUUAUGUUGUGCCCCGACACCUGGGUACCCGGUAACCGGGAUCACCCCAUCUUUAUUUAGCGUUCCCGCACACGCUUCCUAUACGUUGGCACAAUAUCUCGACGAGUUAUCGGCAUAGGAACGUUGUCGUGGCAUCGUUUCCGUUUUGCCGCCAUGAUUUCCUCUCGCUUGCCGUGCCGACACAUGCUUAUUUUCCCUCAUUGUCGUGAUGUGAUGAACUUGCAUGCAUGACGCAUACAUGGCAUGUAAUCUCGUGUUGCAUGUCUCUUGCACAUAGCUCCGUUCUAUGCUCCGCGUGUUAACCGUCUAGGAUGCCAUGCAGGACCGUCGCUUCACCCUUGCCAUGUUAGCUACAAUUUAAUAUUGUCGUGUAAAUAACCGGGAGUGAACUAAAUAAUUAAUCGUGGAGUUUCGUUGAUAUGCAAUGUGUAGAGUUUGCGUGAGGUGAAUUGCCAUGCCAUCCCUUGCAUCAUUGAACUGAUCAUGCAUCAUAGCAGGUUAUGCAUCAUGUUGUGCAUCGUGUGGUGAAUAUUUGUGUUGAUAUUUAUUUCCGGUUUGCUUCGUCUCGAUAGAGUUCCGCAAGCGUGACGGAAUGUGAGGACCCGUUCGACUACGUUGGUUUGCCGACUCCACCGAGUUGUUCUUCUUCCAAGCGGGAUCUUAGGCAAGAUGACCAUUUCCCCAGAUACCAUUACUAUCAUUGCCAUGCUAGUUUUACCGUUUCUACCGUUUAUGUCUCGUUGCCUACCACAUGUUAAAUAUCAGCCUCUCAACAAUGCCAUGAUAACCUUCAACCUGUUCGACCUAGCAAACCACUAAUUGGCUAUGUUACUGCUUGCUUAACCCUGUUGUUAGCUUUGCUAGUUGCAGGUGUAGUUGCUUCCAUGUGAUAACAUGGAUUCCUUGUCAUAUCACCAUAUUUAAAUUCUAUUUAAUUUAAUGGGCCUAUAUACUUGGUAAAAGGUGGAAGGCUCGGCCUUUCUAGCCUGGUGUUUUGUUCCACCUUUGCCCCCUUAGUUUCGGCUACCGGUGUUAUGUUCCAUAAAUGAGCGUUCCUAACACGAUCGGGGUUGUUAUGGGGACCCCUUGAUAAUUCAUUUUAGAUUAAAGCUGGUCUGGCAAGGCCCAACUUUGGUACUACAUUUGCCUAAUAACUAAUGAACUGCAUAUGGAGUAAUUAACCCGAGGAUAAUUUAAUCAACCCCCGGGCCAGUGCUCCGCAUGAGUGUUGGUCCAAAACAGAGUAGCUUAUUAACGCUACCCGGGGCAACUCGACGUUUGGCGUGGUAACCAUCGCUCAUCCGUCGUGUCCUGAGAACGAGGUACGCGACUCCUAUCGGGAUCGUCGACACAUCGGGCGGCCUUGCUGGAUUAGUUUUACCUUUGACGAGAUAUCUUGUGCAUCAGGAUUCCGGUGAUGCUUUGGGUAAUCUCAGAGUUGAGGUUUUCCACUAGGGAAUCUGACGAGAUCGCGAGCUUCGUGAUGGAGGAUUUCUAUGCGACUUGUGGUAAUUUGUGAUGGACUAGGUGGAGCACCCCUGCAGGGUUAAAUCUUUUCGGGAAGUCGUGCCCGUGGUUAUGUGGCAACGUGGAAACUUUGUUUAACACUGGUUCUAGACAACUUGAAGUUAACUUAAUUAAAAUAUGCCAACUGUGUGCGUAACCGUGACUGUCUCUUUCGUGAGUUCCUUCUCCGAUCGAGGACACGGUGGGGUUAUGUCUGACGUAGGUAGGUGUUCAGGAUCAUUCAUUUGAUCAUCAGUAGUUCACGUCCGUUAUACGUAGAUCUUCCCCCUCUUAUUUAUUGUACUCGUAAGUUAGCCACUAUAUAUAUAUAUGCUUAGCCGCUGCUGCAACCUCACCACUUAACCAUGCCUCACCCAUUAAGUUGUGCUAGUCUUGAUACCUUUGGAAAUGAGAUUGUUGAGUCCCCUGUGGAUCACAGAUUACUACAACAACAGUUGCAGGUACAGGUAAAGGUCACUCGACGCGAGCGCGUUGAUUGUUCAUUUGGAGUUGCUUCUUCUUCUUCUUCUUCGAUCUAGGAUGGGUUCCAGGCCGGCAGCCUGGGAUAGCAAGGAUGGACGUCGUUCUUCUUUUCUCGUUUGUUUUCAUCCGUAGUCGGACCCUGCUCUUACUCUUAAUGUUUAUGUAAUGUACUGCUGUGACUCUGAUGUAGCUUGUGGCGAGUGUAAGCCAACUCUAUAUAUAUCUCUUCUUUUCAGUACAUGUACUUGUAACGAUAUCCAUUCUUGCGACACGACGAGAUGCGCUUCUAUCCCUGACGAGGCCCUNACAAGCCCCCACCCCGUGGCCAGGGGGUAGGCCGCGGCCCACACGCUUGUGGGCCCCUGAGCGCCCCCUGACCUAGGGGUUGCGCCUAUAAAUUCCCUAAAAAUCCCAAAAAAAAUCAAGAGAUCAUCGAAAUCACUUUUCCGCCGCCGCAAGCUUCUAUCUCCGCAAGAUCCCAUCUAGGGCACGUUCUGGUGCCCUGUCGGACGGGGGAUUCGGACACGAAGGGCUUCUCCAUCAACACCAUGACCUCUCCGAUGAUGUGUGAGUAGUUCACCAUAGACCUAUGGGUCCAUAGCUAGUAACUAGAUGGCUUCUUCUCUCUCUUGGAUCUUCAAUACAAAGUUCUCCAUGAUCUUCAUGGAGAUCUAUCCGAUGUAAUCUUAUUUUGCGUUGUGUUUGUUGAGAUCCGAUGAAUUGUGGAUUUAUGAUCAGAUUAUCUAUAAAUCUUAUUUGAGUUUCUUCUGAUCUCUCUGAUGCAUGAUUUCAUAUCCUUGUAAUUCUCUUCGAGUUGUGCGUUUUGUUUCGCCAACUAGAUCUAUGAUUCUUGCAAUGGGAGAAGUGCUUGGUUUUGGGUUCAUACCGUGCGGUGACCUCACCCAGUGACAGAAGGGGUAGCGAGGCAUGCAUCAUGUUGUUUCCAUCAAGGGUAAAAAGAUGGGGUUUUCAUCAUUGGUUUGAGAUUAUCCCUCUACAUCAUGUCAUCUUGCUUAAAGCGUUACUCUGUUCGUCAUGAACUCAAUACACUAGAUGCAUGCUGGAUAGCGGUCGAUGUGUGGAGUAAUAGUAGUAGAUGCAGAAAGUAUCGGUCUACUUGUCUCGGACGUGAUGCCUAUAUGUAUGAUCAUUGCCUUAGAUAUCGUCAUGACUUUGCGCGGUUCUAUCAAUUGCUCGACAGUAAUUUGUUCACCCACUGUGAUAUUUGCUUUUUGAGAGAAGCCUCUAGUGAACACUAUGGCCCCUAGGGUCUACUCCACACGAUAUUUUCAGCCUUACACUUUUUACUUCGUUGCACUUUCCGCCUUCAUAUCUCACUUUGCAAACAAUCUUGAAGGGAUUGACAACCCCUUUGAAGCGUUGGGUGCAAGCUUGUUUGUGUUUGCGCGGGUACUCUAGACUUGAUGAGGCCCUCCUUCUGGAUCGAUACCUUGGUUCUCAAACUGAGGGAAUACUUACUGCUCAUGUGCUGCAUCACCCUUUCCUCUUCAAGGGAAAAACCAUUGCAAACCAGAGAAGUAACAAGAAGAAUUCCUAGCGCCAAGGAAGGACUUUUGUUGCCGUAGCGGAAGAAUUUCUGGCGCCGUUGCCGGGGAGGAAGAUCAAGUCAAGGACUCAUCCAAGUAGGUGUCGCAAACUCAUCUCUUGCAUUUACUUUGUUUGCCAGUUGCCUCUCGUUUUCCUCUCCCGCACUUCACCAAUUUGCCUUUUUCGUUUGCCUUUUUCGUUUGCCUUUUUCGUUCGCCUUUUCUCUCGCUUGCUCUUUGUUCGUCUGUGUGGGAUAGUCUACCCAUCAUCAUGGCUAGAUCCACCGCUUCGAACGAUACUCCCGAAAGCGAAGUCCUCAAUUUCAAACAAAUUGAGGAAGAAAACUUAAAGGACGAUUGGUAUAGGAUUUGCAAUGCUCAGAGUAGAUCUACUCAUAAGCAGUCCACUACCGUCUUGCUUCGCAGUUUUUAUGUGGGUGUUUCUCCUUGGAAUAGGUAUAUUCUUGACACCAUCGUAGGUGGAAAUUUCUUGGGUAGCCAUACCGUUGACUCUUACGGAGCUGUGAUAAAUUUGGUAGGCUCACCCCCACUCAUGGUUAAUGGAACUACCUUAACCCUGGAACAUGUGAUGCGUAGGCUGGACGUCAUUGAAAAAAAAAUUGCCACGAUCGAAAUCAUUGAGAAUUUGGAUAAAAAGAUACACAAUCAAAUCACUCAGUAUGGAUCCAAGGUGGGAAUGGUUUUGAAAAAUUUAAAGGAGAAGGAACCCACAGUUAAUGAAAAACUAGGUCAUGAUUCCGCUAAGAUUGGCAAACUAGAGGAUGUUAUAACCAACUUGGGUUCCGCUUUUCCCGCUGUGGAGAAUACUCCAAACUUUUCCCACAAUAAAGUCACCAAAUCUGUUUUUGUUCCAAAAAAUAGUGGUGAAUCUUCUAGCAAGAAAGAUGAAAGCCUUAGGAUGAUCAGCGAUCACGCCACUUAUGGUUUGAGCACCAAAGACGACGAUACGUGAUUCUAUCACUUUUAUGCCUAGCUAAGGGCGUUAAACAAUAGCGCUUGUUGGGAGGCAACCCAAUGAAUUUAUCUUUUUUCUUUCUGUUUUGUUGCGUCUACACCAUCAAAAUUCUGUUGUGAUUGUGAUUUUUGUGUUUGAGCCAAGCAAAACCUUUAUGACUAGUCUUGGUAAUGGUUGUUUGAUCCUGCUGGAAAAAGACAGAAACUUUUCGCUCACGAUAUGAUUUUUCAUUUUUAUUAAGAAACAGAUUUUGAGUUGAUUCUUUUUUCUUCUGGUUUAUAUGCGUUUUUUCCAGGCCGUCGUAAUUUUUCAGAUUUUUUCACGUACCAGAAGUAUACGAAGUAUACAGAUUGCUACAAACUGGUCUGUUUUUGACAGAUUCUGUUUUUGUUGAGUUGGUUGCUUGUUUUGAUGAAACUUUGGUUAGUAUCGGGGGGUAAUAGCCAUGGAGAAGUGAGAAUACAGUAGCCCAACACCAAUAUAGAUGGAAUUCAAGUUUUCUACAGUACCAAAAGAAGUGGUAGCUGGUUUUCUUGUGCUAAUGUUAUCACGAGUUUCUGUUUAAGUUUUGUGUUGUGAAGUUUUCAAGUUUUGGGUGAUGUUCUCAUGGACGAUGAGAUAAGGAGUGGAAAGAGCUCAAGCUUGGGGAUUCCCAAGGCAUCCCAAGCCAAAUUCAUGGACACCAAAAAGCCUAAGCUUGGGGAUGCCCCGGGAAGGCAUCCCCUCUUUCGUCUUCAAUCCAUCGGUAACAUUACUUGGAGCUAUAUUUGUAUUCACCACAUGAUAUGUGUUUUGCUUGGAGCAUCUUGUAUUGUAGGCGUCUUUUCUUUUUGUUGUGUCACAAUCAUCCUUUCUACACACCUUUUUGAGAGAGAGAGACAUGCACUCAUCGUGAUUUUGCUAGAAUUCUCAUAGUGCUUCACUUAUAUCUUUUGAGCUAGAUACUUUUGCUCUAGUACUUCACUUAUAUCUUUUAGAGCACGGCGGUGCGUGAUUUGGUACUUGGCUUAUGCUUUGAAAGUAGUCCCAAAUGUGAUAGGUACCCAAAGAGGAUGCAAAAACCUCCAUCUUCAUGUGCAUUGAUAGAAAGAGAAGUUUUGAUUCCUCUCAAUUAGUUUUGAGACGUGGAUUUGGUAAUGUUGAGAGCUAGUUAGUAGGGUGUUGUGAAUCUAGAGAUACUUGUGUUGAAGUUAGUAAUUCCCGUAGCAUGCACGUAUGGUGAACCGCUAUGUUAGGAAGUCGGAGCAUAAUUGAUCUAUUGAUUGUCAUCCUUUGUGUUGAGGUCAGGAUCGCGCGAUGGUUAACACCUACCAACCCUUCCCCUCGGAGUAUGCGUUUAGCACUUUGUUUCGAUUACUAAUAAAAACUUUGAGUUCUUCAUGACUAAUGUGAGCCCAUGGUAUAGAUGCACUUCCACCUUCCACCAUUGCUAGCCUGUCUAGUGCCGCGCAAUUCUUGCCGGUGCACAAACCCACCAAAUUCCUUCCUCAAAACAUCCACCAUAUCUACCUACUAUGGCAUUUUCAUAGCCAUUCCGAGAUAUAUUGCCAUGCAACUCCCACCGUUCCGUCUCAUGACUUGUGUCGUCACUCUCAUAUUGCCAUUACAUGAUCGUAAGAUAGCUAGCGAGAUGUUUCAACGUCAUACGCCAUGCUAUAUCGUUGCACAUCCCGGUACACUGCCGGAGGCAUUUCCUAUGGAGUCAUCAUCAUUGUGAUCUUUGAGCUGUGAGUAAAUAAAAGUGUGAUGAUCAUCAUUAUUAGGGCAUUGUCCCAUGUGAGGAAAAAAAAAGAGGCCAAAGAGCCCAAAAACAAAAAAAGGAAGAAAAAAAGUGAGGCCUAAGAGCCCAAAUGAAAAAAAAAAAGAGAAGGGACAAUGCUACUAUUUUUUCCACACUUGUGCUUCAUGAUAGCACCAUGUUCUUCAUGAUUGAGAGCUUCUUGCUUCGUCACCACCCUAUGCUAGUAGGAAUCUUCAUUAAAUAACUUGGCUUGUAUAUUCCAAUGAUGGGCUUCCUCAAAAUUGCCCUAGGUCUUCAUGAGCAAGCAAGUUGGAUGCACACCACUAGUUGUCCUUUUGAGCUUUCACAUACUUAUAGCUCUAGUGCAUCCUUUUGUAUGGCAAUCCCUACUCAUUCACAUUGAUAUCUAUUAAUGGGCAUCUCCACGGCCUAUUGAUAAGCCGAGUCAAUGUGACCAUCUCCUCCUUUUUGUCUCACAACCACCACCACCACACUCUAUUCCACCUAUAGUGCUAAAUCCAUGGCUCGCGCUCAUGUAUUGCGUGAUAGUUAUAAAAAGUUUGAGAAAGUAAGGGUGUGAAAACAAUUACUUGGCCAAUACCGGGGUUGUGCAUGAUUUACAUUAGUUGUCUGAGGAUGAUGGAGCAUAGCCAGACUAUAUGAUUUUGUAGGGAUAACUUUCUUUGGCCUUGUUAUUUUGAAAGUUCAUGAUUACCUUGCUAGUUUGCUUGAAGUAUUAUUGUUUUCAUGUUAAUAGCAAACUAUUGUUUUGAAUCUUACGGAUCUGAACAUUCAUGUCACGUGAAAGAAGUUGCAAAGGACAACUAUGUUAGAUAGCAUUCCACAUCAAAAAUUCAUUCUUUAUCACUUCCCUACUCGAGGACGAGCAGGAGUUAAGCUUGGGGAUGCUUGAUACGUCUCCAAUAUAUCUAUAAUUUUUGAAGGUUUCAUACUAUUAUCUUGUAAAACUUUGGAUGUUUUGCAUGCCUUUUACAUAUUUUUUGGGGACUAACUUAUUAACUCAGUGCCAAGUGCCAAUUCCUGUUUUUUCCAUGUUUUUGACCCCUUUCAGAGGAGAUUUUGAAACAGAGUCCAAACGGAAGAAAAUCCCCGAAAAGCUUUUUUCCGGAACGGAAGAAGAUCGGGAAGCUUGGGAGCCAAGGCAGGGGAGCCUCAGGGGCCCCACAAGCCCCCACCCCGCAACCAGAGGGGUAGGUCGCGGCCCACAGGCUUGUGGGCCCCCUGAGCGCCCCCUGACCUAGGGGUUGCGGCUAUGAAUUCCCUAAAAAUCCCAAAAAAAUCAGGAGAUCAUCGAAAUCACUUUUCCGCCGCCGCAAGCUUUUGUCUCCGCAAGAUCCCAUCUGGGGCACGUUCUGGUGCCCUUCCAGAGGGGGGAUUCGGACACGGAGGGCUUCUCCAUCAACACCAUGACCUCUUCGAUGAUGCGUGAGUAGUUCACCAUAGACCUACGGGUCCAUACCUAGUAACUACAUGCCUUCUUCUCUCUCUUGGAUCUUCAAUACAAAGUUCUCCAUGGUCUUCAUGGAGAUCUAUCCGAGGUAAUAUUCUUUUGUGGUGUGUUUGUCGAGAUCCGAUGAAUUGUGGAUUUAUGAUCAAAUUAUCUAUGAAUCUUAUUUGAGUUUCUUCUGAUCUCCCUUAUGCAUGAUUUCAUAUCCUUGUAAUUAUUUUCGAGUUGUGGGUUUUGUUUGGCCAACUAGAUCUAUGAUUUUUGCAAUGGGAGAAGUGCUUGGUUUUGGGUUCAUACCGUGCGGUGACCUCACCCAGUGACAGAAGGGGUAGAGAGGCACGCAUCAUGUUGUUGCCAUCAAGGGUAAAAAGAUGGGGUUUUCAUCAUUGGUUUGAGAUUAUCCCUCUACAUCAUGUGAUCUUGCUUAAAGCGUUACUCUGUUCGUCAUGAACUCAAUACACUAGAUGCAUGCUGGAUAGCGGUCGAUGUGUGGAGUAAUAGUAGUAGAUGCAGAAAGUAUCGGUCUACUUGUCUCGGACGUGAUGCCUAUAUGUAUGAUCAUUGCCUUAGAUAUCGUCAUGACUUUGCGCGGUUCUAUCAAUUGCUCGACAGUAAUUUGUUCACCCACCGUGAUAUUUUCUAUUUUGAGAGAAGCCUCUAGUGAACACUAUGGCCCCUAGGGUCUACUCCACACCAUAUUUCCAGCCUUACACUUUUUACUUCGUUGCACUUUCCGCCUUCAGAUCUCACUUUGCAAACAAUCUUGAAGGGAUUAACAACCCCUUUGAAGCGUUGGGUGCAAGCUUGUUUGUGUUUGCGCAGGUACUCCAGACUUGACGAGGCCCUCCUUCUGGAUCGAUACCUUGGUUCUCAAACUGAGGGAAAUACUUACUGCUCCUGUGCUGCAUCACCCUUUCCUCUUCAAGGGAAAAACCGACGCAAACCAGAGAAGUAACAAGAAGAAUUGCUAGCGCCAAGGAAGGACUUUUGUUGCCGCAGCAGCCGGUUGAGCGGCUUUGUGGCAGCCGGGCCAAAUCUUAUUCUCUUCGUGUCUUCUUUCAGCUCGAGUGGAUGCAAUGCGAUGGCAUCUUCCGGGAUGCAAUCGACAUCGGCCGCUUCGCCAAGGCCAGCUAGCGCUAGGCUCGGGAGGAUCUUACGGCUCGAACAGCCGAGCUGGAGGCAGCAACAGGUAACCUCUCUUCUGCUGUUGGUGGGUGUAGUCCCCGAGAUUCGGGCCGGCUGCGCGGCUUCGUGGGAGCCGGGCAAAAUCUUUAUUCUUCUUUCCUUUGUUGAUUAUGUUGUUCGUUUGCUGUCCAGCACUGGGCGCAUCCGCCACCGAGCUGGAGUCACUACGCAAGUCCCUUGAGGCGGUCCGGGGCAAGUGCGACGAGAUCGCCCGUGAGCGCGACCGACUGGCCCAAGAGCUGGCGAAGUAGACGGCCGAGGUGGCGCGGCUCGACAGUGCCUUGCAGGCAGCCGAGGCGGAGAAGGCGACAGUGCGGCAGGCGGCAACCAAGAGCGAAGAGGUGGCCACAGCGCUCCGGGACGAGGUGGCUUGGCUCGGCAAUCUCAAGCAGACGGCUGACCAGCGGGCGGACAGCGCGGUCGGCCUCGUUAAGGGGGGUGGACACUGAUACGUCUCAAACGUAUCUAUAAUUUUUUAUGGUUUCACGCUCUUAUCUUGUCAACUUUGGAUGUUUUGUUUACCUUUUAUAUCUUUUUUGGGACUAACUUAUUAAUCCAGUGCCAAGUGCCAGUUCCUAUUUUUUCUGUGUUUUUGACUCUUUUCAGAUCUGAUUUUGGAACGGAGUCCAAACGGAAUAAAAUCCCCAAAAUAUUUUUUUCUAGAACGGAAGAAGAUCGGGAGGCUUGAGGGCCAAGGCAGUGGGCCCACAGGGAGCCCACAAGCCCUGUUGCCGCGGCCAGGGGGAGGCCGCGGCAACCAAGCUUGUGGCCCCCCUGGCGCUCCCCUGCCCUAGGUCUUUGGCCUAUAAAUUCCCUAAAAAUCCAGAAAAAAUCAGGGCAUCCACGAAAACACUUUUCCGCCGCCGCAAGCUUCCGUUUUUGCGAGAUCUCAUCUGGAGACCCUUCUCGGUGCCCUGCCGGAGGGGACUUUGGAGUUGGAGGGCUUCUACAUCAACAUCAUCGCCUCUCCAAUGACUCGUGAGUAGUCUACUUCAGACCUACAGGUCCGUAGUUAGUAGCUAGAUGACUUCUUCUCUCUCUUGGAUCUUCAAUACAAAGUUCUCCAUGAUCUUCAUGGAGAUCUAUCUGAUAUAAUCCUCUUUGGCGGUGUGUUUUUCGAGAUCCGAUGAAUUGUGGAUUUGUGAUCAGAUUAUCUAUGAAUUAUAUUUGAGUCUUUGCUGAUUUCUUAUUUGCAUGAUUUGAUAUCCUUGUAAGUCUCUCCGAGUCUUGGGUUUUAUUUGGCCAACUAGAUCUAUGAUUCGUGCAAUGGGAGAAGUGCUUGGUUUUGGGUUCAUACCGUGUGGUGACCUUUCCCAGUGACAGAAGGGGCAGCAAGGCACGCAUCGUGUUGUUGCCAUCAAGGGUAACAAGAUGGGCUUUUAUCGUAGAUAUGAGAUUGUCCAUCUACAUCAUGUCAUCUUGCUUAAGGCGUCACUCUGUUCUUUUGGACUUAAUACACUAGAUGCAUGUUGGAUAGUGGUCGACGUGUGGAGUAAUAGUAGUAGAUGCAGAAAGUAUCGGUCUACUUGUUUUGGACGUGAUGCUUGUAGAUAUAAUCAUUGCCUUAGAUAACGUCACGACUUUGCGUGGUUCUAUCAAUUGCUCGACAGUAAUUUGUUCACCCACUGUCUACUUGCUUUCACCAGAGAAGCCACUAGUGAACACUACGGCCCCCGGGUCUAUUCACAACUAUCGUUUUCACUUUCACUUUUACUUUGCUCUGUUUACUUUUUGCUUUCAGUUCUCACUUUGCAAACAAUCUAUAAGGGAUUGACAACCCCUUCAUAGCGUUGGGUGCAAGCUCUUUGUGUUUGUGCGGGUACUUGUGACUGGACGAGAUCUUCCACUGGUUCGAUACCUUGGUUCUCAAAACUAAGGGAAAUACUUACCGCCGCUGUGCUACAUCACCCUUUCCUCUUCAAGGGAACAACAACGCAAGGCUCCAAGGCCACGGGGAAAUCCUUUGCAUAUUUGCCAAGGAAGUCCCUAAAGGCGUAGCCGUAGCAGCAGGAUUCCUCGCGCCGUACGAGGGAAGGUCUAUUGUCGCAGUAGCAGAAGGAUUUCUGGCGCCGUUGCCGGGGAAGAUCGAGUCAAGAAUAGUCUCUCGUCAACGUGUUGAUUUCUGGCGCGGGGAGGAGAUCUAUCCAAGUAGGUGUCACAAACUCAUCUCUUGCAUUUACCUUUUUUGCCAGUUGCCUCUCGUUUUCCUCUCCCCCACUUCACAAUUGCCAUUUUCAUUUGCCUUUCCCCUUUUGCCGUUUCCUUUUGCCUUUUUACCGUUUUCUUUUGCCUUUUUGCCGUCUUCCUUUGCCGUUCUCUUUUGCCCGCUUUACUCGCUUACUUCCUGCUCGUUUAUGUGUGGGAUAGUCCAUCAAUGGCUAGACCCACUACUCCAAAUGAUACCCCUGAGAACGAAGUUCUCAAUUUCAGGCAGAAUGAGUAAGAAAAUUUAAAGGACGCUUGGUACCGGAUUUGCAAUGCUCAAAGUAGAUCCACUCAUAAGCAAUCCACUACCGUUCUUCUUCGCAGUUUUUAUGUUGGAAUCUCUCCUUGGAAUAGGUAUAUCCUUGAUACCAUCGUAGGCGGGAAUUUUUUGGGGAGCCAUACCGUUGACUCCUAUGGAGCUAUCAUGAA